AGUUUGUCAGUGAGACCUAAAUAUGAUCCCUUGUUCCCAUGCAUGCGUUGCAUUGUCUAUUAGGAACCUUCAUUUGCAUAUGUCAAUAUGGUAAACCUAUACAAGAAGGAAAUGCAUUCUAUUGGUAUUGUAGACCAAAUUAGGAAUAUGUACCAAGUUGGUAGGUUAAACGUCCAGCUAGGAGGCCUAAGAAAAUUAUUACUUUUUUUUAGAGAAAAAAGGAACCAUCUUGUAAAAAACUAAUCCAUGAUGGUUACAACAUCGUUUUUUUUUUUUUUUAAUAAAAGCUUAUAUGUCGACACUUGUUUAGCGUCGUUAUUUUUCAAGUCACGACACAUUUUUUGACAUAUAAAUAAAUUAAAUACAUUAUGCAUAUUCUAGUAUUCUUUGCCCUAUUAGUGAUGUCUUCUAAUCUGCUUGAUUGUUUAUCUAUUUUGUUCUAACUAUAUAUUUAUCUUUGUUGUUUUAAAAGGAGUAUUAGCAAACAACUAUAUAUUAGUGAUUUUGUCGCAUUGAAAAAAGUAAUCAGAUGCAUACCUCGUCCUCACUUGUCAGAGUUAUUGGGUCUUUUGUUGUUGGUUUCUUCGAACCAGUUAUUCUGGCACACUUUAAUCUUUUACUGAUCACCCUUGUUCUUCGUUCACUCUCUUCUCUUUUUUCAUAGAUUUAAUAUUUGCUUCACUUUAUUAGUUAAAUAAGCAUUUAUAAAUAUUCAUGAAAUUUUUGUUAUAGUUUGUAGUUCCUAGAAAUGAAUAAUUAAUUCAAAAGUGUAUCCUCUAUAUAUAAUUAAUCACUGAAAAAAAUAAUAAACGACUUAGAUGGUAUUCUUCAUGACAUUUUUUACUUUUUCUGACUUAUGAAGUAGUUGCAAAAAUAGAGGAGGUCACUAGACUAUUUUGUCACCUUUGCAUGUCACAAUUGGCAAGGAUUAGAGAGGCUGUCAAGAUAAUUGGUUGCCUUAUUUUUGUUAAUUAUAGACAAUACGUGCGUCCAUUAAUAACUUUUGAACAAAAGAAGAAAUGAGACAAACAUUGUUUUUGUAGAAAUCGAAGGUGGACACCCCCUUUCAAGUGAGAUGAUGUUCGUGCAGUUUAGGUAAGCUAGGUAAUAUCACGUUGGUGAAUGUUUUAUGAACGACGUCUUGGGCCGCUAGUUUUGCAAGGAUUCCAAUGUCUGGAGCUUAACGUUGCUAAGAUGGAAGGUUCAAGAUGUGCUUUAAUGGAGAUGAAAGAGUUUUGGAGGGAAAUUAGGGAUUAGAGGGAUUUUAGGUGUUUGAGUGUUUUGGUAGGAAAAAAUAAAAGGAGAGAGUUGAAAGGAUUUGGGUUGGGAAGUGUGAUUCAAUCUUGGGGUAUUUGGUUUUUGGAAAUGAUUGUAUUUGGAAGGUAAGUUAUUUUACUAGAGUAUGAGCAUUUAAGACAUUUUGCAACGUAAUAUUUAUUUCGUUUUUUUGAUUUUUCCAUAUCAACAAUUAAAAUUAAUCUUUGUUAUUGUAUCCAAAGUAAACCGGUAAAUUUGAUAGUUUUUUUGUCCGCCCAAAAAAGAAGUGCCUAUGCCGAAAAGUAACUAAAUAAGCUGAACUCAAGUAAGAUCAUGCAAAAUUACUAUAAAUAAUGCUUGAAGGAAUUGAAACUCAAAAAGAUUGUGAAGAAAUACAACUAUGUUGAAGUUCUAUAAAGUGCAUAAUUAUUUUAAAGAUUUAAAGAUCUAAGCUUCAAAUAUUAACUUUUUCUCUCUCUUGAAGAUCUAAAGACCAGAAGCUCAUAAGGAUUUUCAGAAGAUUAGAAGAUCGAUCACUUGAUGAAGCUCGUUAAGUUAGAAACUCCAUAGACAACUAUCCAAAAUAAAAGUCAAAGAUUCUAGAGAAACUAGAAAAUAAGAAGCCUCUACUCAACUAUUGAUCAUAAUCAAAUACAUUUUUUAAAACCAAAAACACUUCGACCACUUCUAAACUCAAGAACUAUAGCAUCCAGGACAAGUUGUGAAAAUAUUGAGACAAAUAUGCAUGUGCACCAAGAACAAGCUUAUAUAAAUAUUUUUAUUAUUGUUUAACAAAUUUAAGCUUAUAUAAAUAUUAUUAUUAUUGUUUAACAAAUUUAAGGAAGAAGUAAGUUUAGGCGACUAAAAGUAAAAAUUUAGUGAAUGUACAUUCACUGAAAUUGAUCAAAGUAAUUUAAAGUAAUUUAGAUGAACGAAAAUGGAAGAAAGUAUAGGAAUUCAAAUAAAAUAAUGUUUUUAAUUCUUACGAAUAUUAAUGAAAGUGCAAAAUUUUCAUGAGAUUAAUUAGGUUAUAAUUCAAAUCUCGUGCCCCUAGUGGCAGCCAAAUUUGAGUCCACUUCAUAUAUAUACAAAUUCCCAUGCACUUUAUCGUUCACAUUUGUAUUCAUAAGGUUGUGAAUCAUGACUAACAUGUCAUGAUGGUGUGACAUUGGGCUUGUAUUGUAGUAUGAUUUGUCUUGGAGAAUGUCGUCUCAUCUGCAUUGCAACAAUCUAAAUGCUCUCUUGAUCACAUUCUUAAUUUGUAGAAGAAUGCUUCAUGUUAUAAAAUUCUUGAAGAAUAAUUGGUGCAUUCCCUCCUCCACGGGAUAACCAAGAAUGCUUCAUGGAAUUGUUUCCCCCUCUUUACCAUGCCAGGAAAACAUUUGCAUUCGGGCACUCGACAUCACAUAUACGACAUUAUACAACAUUUAUCCGUUUCAAAUACUAGAAACUUAAGUAUCAUAUUUUAAAUAGGAACAAAAGGAUUAUUUGUUCUAUUAAUUUUAAACAAUGUGUUGGAUUUGAGUUCCUUAUUCUUCGCCCUUUUGGUUAUUCUAGUAUAUACCAAAUACAACAUAAGAUAUGUGAGAUUAGACUAAAAUUCAUAUAAUUGAUUAAGUAAUCUACCAUAACAUACAUACAAAAAUCCAUAUUUGAAGGUGUACUUAAGCAACCAUUUUUCUAACUUCUUAAUAUUGUACAAAAACAUAUAUAUAUGAGUGAUAGUUGUCAAGUAUAGACCACUACUACUACAAUGACAUACACAAAAAUAUUGUCAACUUAGACAUAUGACGUUGAAGUGAUUGACAGAGUUGGUCGCUUAAGUUAGUUUGCAUGGAUGGUUGUCAGAGGUGAUCACUAAAGUUGGUUGCUAGGAGGUAGUUGUUGGAGCUAGCCGUUAUCAAGAAUGGACAUCAAAGAUGAUCUUCGUUAGAGUUCACAACCAAAGUGGGCUUGUAGGAGGGGGUCGUCACAGUUGACACUAGAAUUAGUCGUCUGGGACUUAGAGGGAUGAAGUUAUUAAAAAUAUUAAAGUGGUUGAGUUAUUGAAAAAUUGGAGUGACAGAAAUAGUUUAUUUUAGUCGUUGUACUGAAAAUAGUUUUACUAUACCAAAACAGUUGACUAAAACAACCCUUAUUCUCUCUUAUCUUUAACACACCCAAAUGCUAUUGUGUUAUUAUAGCCCAUUUCAAAUUGGUGCCCUAAGUACUCCCAAAAGGGACAUUUGAGGUACUAAGUUAAUUGGUUAUAGUUAAUGGUUGUAAUAAUUCAUAUUUAGAGUCCAAACUAUUUUAGUAUGUAUUACAAUAGUUUAUGUUUGGCAUGCAAACUAUUUUUUAACUUUGAAUAGAAAAUAGUAAACAAUCGUAAUAAAGUGGUAACAAGAAGAUAAGUAGGAAAUAGUAAGUACAAUAAUAAUUAGUGAACACUAUGGUUGAGGAAUUUAUAAUUGUAACAAUAUAGAUAAUUAUAUGUUAUAAUUAAAUCUAAAUAUCAUUAGUACUCCCAUACAUGAAGUGAACUAUUACAUCUAAUUCAACCAACUUUAGGAUGGGGUUUGGAGGUACCCUUGAAAGUUACCGUCGAGGAUGCUUCUAGAAUACAUGUUAAGUAUUUAACAUCAAAAAUAGUUUUGAAGUUUAUUUGAAACAAUUUUUUUAUAUAUAAAGACAAAUUUUGUGAAGUGAUUGUAAGAGAUGACUAUAAAGUAUAAACUUGGAUGAUUGUGGAGAGGAUAAUAAUUGGAAAUUGUAAGGGUAUGAAAUGGAAACUAAUAAAUAACAAUGAUGACGUCUACAGAUCCUCAAUCAGUGGAACUAAAAUAUACAUAAAACAAAAACAAAACAUAUUAAGUAGGGAACUAUGCUUUUCCCCUCAUUUUAUCAUUACAUUUAUUAUUUCCUAAUUUUUCUUUCAACACCCCUGCAACAAAAACAACCGCAACAAAAUAUCAAAAUAUUUAUAGUUCGGGUAACAAAAACAAAAAGCUUAUCAAGUUGGUAAAAUAUUUUCAUAAAUUUCAAUUUUAUCUUUGAUAUUGCAGAUGAUUCGUCAUUUUUCUUUCUUCUUCUUUUUUGCAAUUUAUUCAUCUUCUCUUUCAGAUUUCUACAACUUCUCUUUCUUAUUUUAUUUUCUUCUAUUUCUAUUCAUCUUCAUUUUAUUUCUUCUAGCUUUUUUUCCAGAAUAUCGAGAUCGUUUAAAUCACUUUCAUAUAAUCUAAAUGAACGCUUACCUAGACAAUACGAUUGUUUAGAUUUGAAGUCAUUUUAUCAUCGUUUAAAAAAGGAAUACAAGAUCGUGUGUAUAUGAUCUAAACGAUUGCUUACCAUAGUCAACACGAUCGUUUAGAGCAGUCAACACGAUUAUUUAGAUUUGAAGCAAUUUUUUCCAUUAUUAAAAAGAACUACACGAUUAUGUUGAUACUACCUACACGAUCAUGUUGAUACUACUUACACAAUCGUGUAUCAUUUUCUACAUGAUCGUGUAUCAUGAUUGUUUAAAAGAAGAACUAUAUGUGCGCGUGUGGUCGAUUAAUCGUGUGUUGACAUGAGUAUUUUUUGUAUUUUUCAUUGUGGGCCUAUGGACUUUUUUCGUUCUUAAAAUUGUUCUAUACAAUGCAAAUAUUUUGUCAGUUUGUUAAAUUUGUAAAAUAAAAACCCAACAAUAAUAAUAAAAUGAUCUUGACAGUGAUAAUUAUUAUUGUUGUCGUGGUGGUCUCUGAAUUUGAUUUUAAUUCAAAUUUAAAUUAGUAAAUGUAUGUUUUAUGGCAAAUUAGAAAAAGAUCAUGCCAUUUACGCAUUCACAAGGUAGAUUUGGUAUUGUUAAAAGAUAUUAUAUAAUUAACUUAAAAUUAUGGUUUUUUUCUAAUAUAUUAGUUUAUCUACAAAAUUUUACAUUAAAAAUAAUAGUUUGUAGUAUACAUAUAAAUUAUCACUUUGAUAUAUUUAAAGUUAUAAAUGCAAAUACUAUUUUGUUUGUUUGUUCUUAUAUUACCAAAGAUUUGGACUAAGUAAUAAAAAAGUUAAUUGGAAAAUUCAAAAAAUAGUUUAAAAAAUAUAUAUUAAAUUCAAACUUAUUUUGUGUAAAAUGAUUCUUGACACGAGACUUUUGAAGAAAUUUAAUACGUGGAAUUAACUUGUGUUGAUGUAUUUAUGUUGAUUUGAUUCAAUGUGGUUCGAUCUCUAGUAUUUUAUCUUCUGAUUCUCUCUCGGUUGGAUAACUAUGUUGCUACACAUGAUUUGAGGAAGCAUUGCAUAUGAUUUUCUUGAAAUUGGAGCUUGUAUAUUCAAAUAAACUUCAAUUUUUCAGGGCGGUCAACUUUAAAAAUUGCCCCAUAAAUGAAGAGAACUCUAUAGACUUUAUGGGCUUAGGCUUAGUUGGUCCAUGGGCUUAACCACGUGGAUUUGGAUCGUAUUUAGAAUUUGAGCUAAAUUAAGCUUAUUAUUUUGGCUCAAUUGAACUUUAGUCCAAGUAAAUAAUAUUUAAUUUGACCAUAAUAAUUAACUUGAUCAAACAGUCACAAUAAAAACAUGUGGCAUUAUCAUAAUUGAUUAAUUUAUGUCUUCAAUUUCAAUAUAGGACACAUGUCAACUUUUAAUUAGUCACAAAUUCAAUUAUUCGUAUUUUUUUAUUAUUAUUUUGGUGAACAACGUGAGAAUUUGUGAUUGGUCCAAAAUUUCUUAUUCAACCGUGAUCUUUUAAAAAUGAACAUAAAAAUAUGAGUAUUAAGAUAAGAUCAAAGCUAGAAAUUGAAUUAGAGUAUAAGAUUUAAAUUUUUUGCUUUAUACUUUGGAUUAGUUAAGAUGAUGUCUAGGAUGGCAGCUUUUCAUUCAUUGAGUUAGUUAGGUAGAUUUUUUUAAAAUAAUUAUAUUUGACUUAAUCUUAAUUAAUUAAAAUUUAAUUUAACAAUAACAAUCACGAUAAAAAAUUUGUGAGAUACAACUCAAACCCUUUACUUGAAGCGUCAAAUGCCUUUUAUUGUACACACUAAGAAAAUAGGUCCACAAUGACUAACAAGGGACCGUGGACGUGAAUUCCUAUUUCAAUAAGCUUUCCCUUCUCCGGAAAGAGAUGGGUUUGUAUAAGGAAACAAUUUGGGACACGCCAAAUGACAGUAUAUAAGAUGCUAAAUUUGAAGAGGCUUACUGUACAUAUUUAUGAUUUUCUUACAAGUCUUAAUCUUAAACUUGAUACUGUUUGUGAUCAUAUACUCGAACAGAGACCUCUUCCCUUCCUAAUGGAAGUGUGUUUUAAAGUUCAUCUUAAAGAAGAUUGUAUUAAUGCAUGGGUGUAUUUACUACUCCUGCUAUUGACUCAGCUGCCUUUGGUGUCCUGUCCACGACCCAUGAUAAUGACAAUAAUAGUGAAAAAUCAAUCCAUGUUUGUGAGCAUUGUAAGAAAUAGUGACACACUAAGGAUCAGUGUUGGAAACUUCAUCGUUGUCCCUCAGGAGGUAAGAAACAAGCCUUCAACGAGAAAUAGAACAUAGGGCGUGCCGACGUUAGUGAAACUACCACUGCCAACAGCUCUUAGUCGAUUAGCUCUACUGCAGUCCAGACCAAGACUCCUACCUAUUGCUUAGUUAAGUAUGCCUCAUUAGAGUUGAUGGAAAGAAUUCCUAGAUUUUAGACUCGGGGGAACUACAUACCACUUUAUAGGUUCUUCGGAGCACUUUAUCACUUACACCUCUUUUACCAGUAAUGAAAAAAUUCAGAUAUCGGAUGACUCUUUAGCCUUGAAUUACUGGAAAAGGACAAAUAGUUCGCUUUGACGGACUUGCUCUCUAGAAUGUUUUACAUGUGUCUAAACUUUCUUACAAUUUGCUAAUCAGCAAGAUCACUCGUAAGUUGCACUAUAAAGUUAUCUUCUUACCUGAAUCUAUUUGUUUUCAAGACAUGAGCUCGAGAAGGACGAUUAGCAUUGUCUGGCAUAGCGAAACUUCACAUUCUUAAUGAUAAUACUUUUGGUAGUAGUAUCUCUAGAGUUAGUUUAAUGUUUUCUAUUGUAGCACUUAUGAACAUGAUUGUAUGUUAUGUGGCAGUUUCAGUUGGGUCACCUAAACUUUUAUUAUAUGAAGUAUUUGUUUCCUCGUAUAUUUUCUAAAAUUGAUGUCUCAUCUCUAUCUUGUGAUGUGUGUAUUCGGACAAAACAACAUCGAGUUUUCUUUACCUCACAACCAUAUAAACCCAUACAACCUUUCACCCUUAUCCAUAGUGACGUUUAUGGUUCAUCCAAAGUCACUACCUCCUCUAAGAUACGGUGGUUUGCAACUUUCAUAAUGGUCAUACCCGUCUUACCUAGGUCUUUCAUAUUGUAGCCACCUAAUUUUGUCCGGCCUUAUUUAUAAUUAAUUCAAUUGCCAGAUUAAUUUUUUCUUAAUUUGGCUAUUUUUUAUUUUGUGAUUAACCAAAUUUGUAAAAAAAAAUGUUAUUUAAUUACUUUUAAAGUUUUGUGGGUAGUUUGGUUAGAGUAACAAGUUAGGUGGAGAAUUACUCAAUAUGGUAACUUUUUGAAAUUGGUUUUGUUAAUAAAAUCUUCAUGCCAUUUUGAGAUGAAUGCUAAUGUUGAUAUUAUUUUCAAAUUAAAAAAAAAAAAAAAGCUAGCCAUUUGAAAAAGCUAUUUUAGCUAUAAAUAAUCUCUUCUUCUUCAUCCAUAAGAAAAAAAGACAAAAUAAAGAAAAUGUCACAGAAACAAAAAAAAAAAAAAAAAAAAAAAAAAAAAAAAAAUCCUAGAAAUUUUUUCAACAUUCACAUCCUCUCUUAGCUUCUUUAUCUAAACCUCUAAGCUCCAUAGUCCAACACCUUUAGCGGACUACCCAACCUUUUCUUGCGAAGACUCUUUCUCUUGUGAAUAUUUAGACUUAUAGGUCCUACCGCAAACCCUUCUUUUCUCAAAAUUUUUUUGGAAUUAACUUCUUAAUCGCAAAACUUAUAGUUUUUCGGAGAUUGAUUCAAAUGCCAACUUCCUAUCGAGAAACAUUACUUCAAAAUGCCCCUUCUUAUCCAAAGCGCAAUUUUUGAAAACACUUAACUAGAUUUUUCUUCUUAUACUUAAAUUAAAAACAAGUCUCACAGUUAAAGUCCUAUUACUUGUUGCUAUCAACAAAAAUUAACCUCUAAACCAGCAGGAUGUUAAGAAUGUCUUUCUAAAUGGAGACCUAGUGGAGGAAGUCUACAUAAGUCUCUCCCCUCCCCCCCAAAUAAAUAAAAAAAAUAAAAAUUGAAGCCUAGUUUGGGUAGCAAGUUUGUAAAUUUCAAAAAAUUUAUACGAUCUGAAACAGUCACCCAAAGCGUGGUUUGAUAGGUUCACUAUCUUUGUCAAGUCUCAAGGGUACAGUUAGGGACACUCUGAUCAUACCUUAUUUACAAAGGUUUCAAAGACUGGAAGUAUUGCAAUUAGGAUAGUGUGUGUGGAUGACAUCAGGCAUAAAUCAAUCAACUAAAGCAGAAAAUGAGUGAUGAAUUUGAAAUCAAGGAUUUAGAAAAUCUAAAAUAUCUCCUUGGAAUUUAGGUAGCCAAAUCUAAAGAAGGCAUCUCACUAUCUUAGAGAAAAUACACCCUUGAUGUGGUUCUGUUGACACUCCUAUGGAAUUCAAUUGUAAACUAGGAAACUUUAAUGAUCAAGUUCUAGUUGAUAAAGAACAAUAUCAAUGCCUUGUGGGUUAUUGAUUUACUCAUCUCAUACUUGUCCUUAUAUUUUCUCUGUUGUGAGUGUUAUCAGUUAGUUUAUGCAGGCAGCUCCCCAUAAGGAACACAUGGAAGUUGUCAACAUAAUUUUAAGAUACUUGAAAACAACAUCUGGUAAAGCAUUGAUGCUUAGAAAGACAGAUAGAAAAACCAUUGAGGCAUAUACUGACUUAAACUAGGUAAGAUCUGUUGUUCACAUAAAAUCUACCUCCAUUUAUUGUACCUUUCUAUGAGACGAUCUUGUAACUUGGAGGAGUAAGAAGCAAAGUGUUGUGACGAGAAAUAAUGCUAAGGUCGAAUACCAAGCUAGCUAAGAGUUUGGCAAUAUAUGAGAAAAUUUGGCUCUAAAAUGUCUCAUUUGAUCUUCAUCUAGAGUGUGAGAAACCAAUGAAGCUUUUAUUUGUGAUAAUAAAGCCACUAGCAUUGCUAGCAAACCCGAUUCAAUGUGAUAGAAUUAAACAUGUUGAGAUUGAUUGGCAUUUCAUCAAAGAAAGACUUGACAGUGGGAGCAUAUGAUAGUACUAAAUUGUACAUCACUUCGAGCCAACAGGUUGCUGAUGUUCUCAUCAAAGGGCUUCCCAGACCAAACUUCGACUUUUGAAUUAGCAAGUUUGGCCUAAUUAUUUACACCCAAACUUGAGGAGGAGUGUUAGAAUUAGUGGACUUGGCUCAUAGGAUGUUUAUGGAAAGAUUUACCCUAAAUCUUUUUUCCUUUUUUUUUUUUUUCUCUUUGUGUAUUCUAUUAUUCUCCCUCAUUGUACCUAUUGUAAAUUUAUCAAAAAAAUAAUAAGAACAAAACUAUCGUGAUUUUUUUGAUACUUGGAUUGUCGUGUAAGUUUGUGUUUCGUAUCUUAUUACUUUCAAUAUAUAUCACAAUCCAAAAAAUAGAACAUCUUAAUUUAUAUUUAGUGACAACAAAAAACUUUUGGUUUAGAUCGACUUUGUUUUUUUUUAUUAAAAAUAAAAUUGAACCAAAUAUGUACAUAUAUCCUUAAAUAACCUUUUAAAUUUUUAACCCCAAGUCUGUUUCAGUAUUUUAAGUAUUAUAGUAAAAUGAUCCAUUAAUAUGGUGUGUUUAUAUUUAUUUAGGAAAAGUACAGGAAAAAAAUCCAAUUUCAAUCCAUAAAAAAGAAAUAUGUUCAAUUCAAAGCAAAGCCGAAAUAAAAUUGAAAAAUUAAAAAGAAAUGAUUAACCAACUCGAUAAUAAACGAAACUUAAUAAAAACCGAUUAAUUGGUUUCUUUUCUUUUUAUGGAACAUCAAUUUGGUUCAUUACUUUAUAAAAACUUAUCGAUUUAGUUGUUGGUUGGUUUCAAAAUCAGAAAAACCCAACUUCAACUUUCACCCAAAUCUAAAAGUUAGAUGAGGUGCAGAGUGGUACACAUCAACCAUAAGAAAUUUUAGUACCGUAAUGAGUAAGAAAAACUUGGAUAGUCACAACAUGUGAACUCUUAUAUUCUCUCCAUGUGGCAUAAUUGAGUUGAAAGAAAGAACUAGUGGUAGAAAAAGUUUUAGUACAACGCUACUUAGUACAUAUAAUCUCCACUAAUUAUUUAGCACGUCACCACAUAAUUCUUAAAAACUUUAUAGAUGACAGUAUGGAAGAAUUUUCAUAUAUAUUACCGUUGCACUAAAAAAUUUCUCAUCAUGCCACGUAAUUUACAUUUAUAUAAUUUAGUGUAUACAAACAAAACGCACAAAACAUCAUACUAAACAUAAGAAAUAAUACAAUUUCAUAAGAAAUAAUACAAUUUCAUAUGUGUACUUAACUGAAACUAAAUGUAUGGAAAUAGAAGAGUGGAAAAAAACACAUAUUACUUUUGACAUAAAAGAUAAUAUGUUGAUCUAUGCAGGUGGAGAAGUAUGAUAAUACUUUAUAAAAAAGGGGAAGAAAAGAAAAGGAGAGUAAAGGGUAUAAGUUUGAACUCUUAGCUUUCUAUAAGUUCUAGAGAAUAAAGUUUUAAAUAGAUUUGAGAGGUUGCCCAAGUUGUAGUCAGCUUGGAAAAUGACAUUAUAUGAUUUUACUUUUGGAUUCUACUUUUCAGGUUUUCCACCAGUAGAAACGUUGUAACUUUUAUUUAUAGAAUAUAUUUUGCAUCCUUCAUAUUCCUCACAUUAAUCUUAGUUACACCAUAUAUCCUAGUUUCUAAUUAAUUAUACGUUGAAUAUGGAAGCUAGUAGUUAAUUGCUUUGUUUUAGGACGUUGGCUAUUUUUAAUGGAAAAAAGAAAAAAAAAAUUCUUGUUAAGAUGAAACUCACCCACGUCAACUCAACUAAAAGAGAGUAAAGACAAAUUCGGUGGAUUAGAUUGUACAUCUUUUAAAUUUUAUUCUCUUUCAUCAUCCUUAAUACACUUUUACAAUUAAAUAAACUUAAUAUACAUUAAAUUUAAGGAGGAUUUUUAAGAAGACAAAAUAUUUAUAACUUUCAAUAAAUUCUAUCAUGGAUAGUAAUUGAUAUAAUAUAGUAAUAGAAGAAUAUAGUAAUAAAAUUUAAAAUUUUAUUAUAGUUUGUAAAUAUUUUAAUUUAUUUUGCUAUUUUUAAAAAUGCCCCUAAAUUUAAUUAACAUUUUUUUUCUGUUGUCCUCUUUUAAAAUUUCUUUUCUUCUUCAUCUCUUAUCUUCGUUUCUUUUUCUUGGUGAAAGAUCUAAACGAUCAAUUGUCUAUCUUAGAUAGACAAAGAUAGAUCACUAUCACCAAAAGAUUGUUUAAAUUUUGGUACAAAAUUAUUUUUAAUCAUUUUUUCACGUGUGUGUGAUUGAAGGGUAUUUUUGUUAUUUCAAGUUGUGGGUUUUUUUAUUUUCAAAAUUGUUCUAUAUGAUGUAAAUAUUUUUUGCAUUUUAUUCUACUUUUAAAAAAAAUGUCACUAAAUAAACUAUAUAACUAGUUAUGAAAAAAUAAAAAUAACAAAGUGAGUGUUGGAGACUUGUUAAACAAACCCAUGGAUCUUGAGUUUUUAGUUUUGAGCAUGAAAAUUAAAAUAGUUUUGAUCGAAUACAAAAUUGUUUAAAGAUUUGUCAUAUCUUUGGAGUGACGCAUCAAAUAAUUUAUUGCGAUACAAGCAAAUCUUUCUCUUUUCAAUAAUCUUUACUACUAUAUAUGCUUCAAUCCAUAAAUUAUAAAAUAUUUGUAUAACUUAUUAUUAUUCUUGUUGUUUCAUUCUACUAAUAUUGUAAUUGCUUUUGUAUAUAUUGUUUUAGAAAUUUCUAUUUUCCAACCAACUUCUUUUAAUAGAGUACUAUAAAUGUGAUAUAUAAUGAAGAUUAAUUUGACUAAUACAUUAAUUCAAAUGUCAAAUAUUUAGUAGAUAUAAUUAAAGUAAAGAUAUAUUAGCUGAAUAUCAUAUUCCAUAUUGAUUAGAUAAGUGAUUUAACACAAUAAAAGUAAAAAGGAUGGAAUUAUUUGUGAAGAUUGGUCCAAAAGAGAAUAUUGACAAAUCUUCAUUGUCUCAAACAUACUUUAUUUUAAAAAAAAAAUAAAUCUAUGGGUUAAGCUAUCUAUUUAAACUUCCACCAGCUACAUUAUUUCUUGAAAGAAAAAAACAAUUAAUGUAUUUUUCAAACCACUACUUUCCAAUAUAUAUAUAUAUUAGGUUAUCUAAUUUUCAUUUUGACUUAAAAAAUUAAAAAAAAACAUUGAAUAAUAAUUAUUUAUUACAAAAUUGUUGAAAUAUUUAAUAUAAAAUAGAGUUUAUUAAUUAAAAAAAGAAACAAAGAAAGUAGUAAAGAAUUGAAUUGAGAAUGCAAAAGGAGUUACGAGAGAAGUUUGAUUGAAUGAAGGUAUGUGAUGAUGAUAUUGUAAAACAGCUUGCAUUUUAUUAUUUGUUUGAGUUUGAGUUUGACUAUUUAAACCAAGUCGUAAAUAGCUGCAUUAUUAAUUGUCCUUCAACCUAUCAAAACUAUACAAAAAUCUAAUAUAUAAUAAUUUUUAGUACUAAUUAAAUAUUAAAUAUAACUCAACUUGGGUAUAUAUUAUGUCGAAUUUCCAUCUUCUGUCACAUAACAAUCUCUUACUCCAAACAAAAAAUUGCCACAUUUUGAUGCCAAAAUCUCCCCAAUCAGAAGAAACUAAAUAUAAAUUUUAAUGUGAAAUAAAAUGAAGUACAAAACCAAAUUAUAAGUUUGGUUAUUAAAAGUGGCCUUGCCAAAUUUCAAAAAUAUUUUAAACGAUAAAUAAAGUAUUCUUAGCGAUAUCAAUAUCAAGAAUUUAAUUUUACGAAAUACAUUGAAAACAUAGUAAAAUAAUAAGAUAGCAGUCUAUCAUAUUAAAUAUGUAAUAUGACGUAUUAAUAAUAAAUAUUUUAUAUAAUUUAAUAAUUUGUCGUAUUCUUAUUCAUAUUAGACUAAAUAUAUGACACACUUUUUUUUUUUAAUGUUUUGCUAGUACUUACAAAAGAUUUUGGAGAUAUUUGAAUAUCGAUUUUAAAUCCUUUUAUUUUUAUUAAUAUAGGAGGAUGAAUAUAUCUCUAAAUAUUUUAUUUUUUAUUUAAUAAAUUGCUAACCUACCUAGUUUUGUUUAGAAAUCUCAAUUUCAAACUUGUCAUAAGUUUGUGUUUUCUCAUAAAACAUGAAAUUUCAUAUUCUUUUCAUGACCCAUUUUCUUUUUUAAUGUCGACCCUGGUAUUUAUUCUCGAAUUUAUUGCGUUCUUUAAUCAUGCCAAAGUGUUCAAUCACUUCAAUUGUUUUUAAAAUGUUUGAUAUUUAUUUUCUUUUUCUCUUUUCAUGGAAUAAUCAAUGUGUCCAUCAUCCCAAUUUUGAUAUUACUAUGACCAUUUGUUAUGAGAUGUUAUGCAACUUUUCUUCUUUCUUUUGUGUUAUGAUAAUUAGGACUUCUCCCUUAUUCUAAACUAUAUUGUAAAGUUCAUCAUUAUAUAUUAUGGUCUUACAAAUUUGGCCAUGCAUUUUUUACAACACAAACCCAAAUUACUACUUCUAACCUAAAACAUUUUAAACCAUUUUUACCUUUCAAAACUAACUUUAAAAAGUUUUUGGAACAUUUUUAAAUAGAGUAAAAUAAACCAAAAUUUAAAUUCUAUAUAGAAACCGACAAUAAAUUAAAUAAAUUUUUUUAUUAUUUUUGAAAAUAUUUGAUCAAUUUUGUCAUUUUGUUUAUAAUUUUCUUGAUCUUAUAUGAAUAUCAUAUUGUUUUGUAAUAUAUUAGCUCGUACACGUACACUAAACUUAAAAUUAAGUUUCUAAACACUCUAAUGGUAUUUAUUUAACCUAAAAUGGUUAAUACUGACACAUAUUACUAAAUUUUAUACAUUUAGAUGGUUGUAGUUAUUUGUUUACAAAUGAGCAUAGACCACACAACAACUUGCACUACCUAUAUUUAACAUAUGCAGUGUUGUUAUAUCAAGAUUUUGUCAUCAUAGAUUAAUAAUUAAUCUUAAAGGUAAGCAUAUGAUUCAAAAUCGUCAUCUACCAUAUAGUAGUUGAAAUCUAAUAAUUCAUAUACUAUAAUUAAAUGAUAGAGACAAAAUUUAUAAGAUUAACUUCUUAAUUUCGAUAUAAAAAAAGUAAUUAAUUUAACAAAUUUCAAAUGAAGAGAUCAACAUAGAAUAUAUGGUUUAAUUAAUUAGAGUAAAAAUGAACCCAUUUUCCCCAAUAUUUUUUUGUCCCAAAACAAUGAAAGGUUGGCUAAUGGGGUAGUGCUUUUCUUUUAUACUUUUUUCUUUCUGCUAGACUAGACCAUAUAUAUAUUUUAAUUAGGGAAUAAUUAAAUGCUCAUUAAGCAUCUUAAUGAAUAAUCACUUUAAACUUUUGACAAUUGGUGCACUCCACUUAGAGCAUUCUUCUAGAAUCCUCAAAGGCAAAUUAAAAAAAAAAAAAAAAAAGGAGAAGAAAGUUACUAUUAACCUUAUAUAUUUAAUUAAUUAACAAAUUACUUAAUUAAUUAUUUUAGUUGGUGUCUCUAUGGCCCAUCCCUGGCUAUCACUCUCUUCUAACAUUAAAUCAUAUGGAUUUAACUCAAAUAUUAGACAUUGCUCUUUUUUUUUUCCUUCCUAAUUUGUAGUAUGAUGGUGGAUUUUAAAUUUUCAUUCCUAAGGAUUAAAUUAAUUUUCAAAUUCUUUUUCUUUAUUAUUAUUUUUUUUACCUGUUUGCUAAUAAAAAUAAAUUAAUAUUUAUGAUUUUUCUAACUUUUAACUAAAAAAGUUGAGGAAUUGAAUUAAUACAAAUAUAGAAAAUUAUUCUUUCUAAAAAGUAUCAAUUUUGAGUAAUAUGUUAUCUUUGGCACGAUGUUACUUUAAAACUUUAAUACUUUAUUAAUGAUCUUUUAAUGUGAUUUUUCAAAUAAAUAAAUAUAUAUAUAGUGAUGAAAUAAGUAAAAUAUUAUAAAUAGACACAUAUCUUAACUUAGCUUGGAUUUGAUGAUUAUAGAUAAAUUAUAAUAUUUUAAACAUUGCUCGUUGUAUUAAACUCUCAAAUUAAAGAAUAAAAAGUUAAAACAAAAAGGUGAAUAUUCAAAAAUGAUAAAUUUUACAAAAUAUUUACCACAUAUAGUAAAUACUAUAAGUGAUAAUCAUUUAUAUGCUACAAUGAUAAAAGACUAUGAUUGAUAGAAUCCAAAAUUUUGGUAGGUUGUAAAUAUUUUAUUUUUUUAAAAAUGUUCUAAAAAAUUGGGUGAAGAAAUUUAAAAUAAGAAAUUAUAAAUAAUUGAAAAGAAAAAAAACUCUUAAUUUGUAAAAAGAAGGAAAAAAAAAAAAGAAAAAGAACAUUAAGUAAAAAACAUUAAAAAUAAAUAAAAUUGCAUAGAAAAUUGCUUUUUGUUUUUAAUAUAAAAGGUAUAAGACCAAAAACCAUAUAACUACACUUAAUCCAUCAAGAUUUUGGGGGCAACUAUUUGUUGGGCUACCAAAACUUACUAUAUUAUAAAUUUGGAUGGAUCAAAGUUAGUUUAGUUAAUUCUUGUUGUAAGGCUGCAAAUAAAGUAUUGUUAUAUAUUGAUAAAAAGUUUUUGUUGGUUGGGAUUGAUUGAAUAUACUACAUAUGAGAGGUGAAAUGAAGGUUUAGAAUACAUAUAUGUUAGCUUAUAGUUGUAGGAAUUAAAGUAAAGAUAUAGGGAGAUGAGAAAGAAAAAUGUAGGACCAAAUUAAAGAGAAGAAGUAGGUGUCCAAUUAGUUUGCAAAAUGGUCCCCAAAGGCAACUACAUAAAAAGUGUACCACAUAGGAAUAUGACAAAUCAAUUUAACUUUUCCCAUUAUAAUAUUUAUGGAGUGUAGCCUAUGAUAACCACAACAAUUCACUAUCACCCCUACAUUGCUUUUUUUUUUUUUUUUUAUUCACUCACUAACUUUCGUUUCAUCUUUUUCUUUUUUUCUUUCUGCUACCUAUCAAAUCUCUCAUUUCUUUAUUUAUUUCCUUUUACAAAAAUAAAAAUUAAUCGCAUAUUUUUUUAAAUAGAUUUUAACUUUCAUUACAAAAAAAAAAAACUUAUUUCUGUAAUCAAAGUUUAAAAUAUUCAUUUCAAUAGCUUUUAUUAUCUUAAUUAUUCGAUGAAAUGUUGAUAUGUCUUAUAUACAUUCAUGAUUUAAAAUAUCAAAGUCUUAUUUGUAUAGAAAUUUCAGUAGAUUUUUGAAAAAAUUAUAAAAAUAAAUUUCUAGUGUAAAUUUAAAAUUAAUAAAUAGAUAUUUUGUUGUUUUCAAAUAAGUAAACCUAUGUAUAAAAAAAAUUAUUAUUAUUUUUGUUUUGUGUCUCAAAAUUUUCUUAGAAUAUAAAAAAUUUAUCGAUUCGACCUAAGAAAACGUAAAAAUAUGGAUAUAUCGAUAUAAAUUUAAUAUUAAACUUACAAUUAAGGAGAGAUUAUUUUUUAAAUGAAUUUUUUAAAAGGGAAAUGAAAUUGAAAAAAAAAAGGGAAAGUUUUAUGACGUCAGAGCUGUCCCAUUAUGGCGCCAUCAUCAUUGAAGCCUACAAAAACUUUGUUUCCUAUGAAGAAGAUGGAACCCUUUUUGCAAUAAUUUAAGCCCUUUGAGGUUUACAAGUCAAUAUCAAACCAAAACGACAAAACAUUAAUUUUAUAUUUCUUAUUCAUUCAUUUGCCUUCUAUUCUAUUUUGCUUUCCCUCUUUCAUUACAAUUUACCUCAUAAAUUCCUUCAACUUUUACCCUAAUCUACCUAUCUUUGAUAAUUUAACUUGACCAACAACCAACUAUAUAUGUGUUUAUUAUUUCCCAAUUGUUUACAUUUUUAUUUCUCAACACUUACUCCAAUUAUCCUUCUCAUUUUGUAUGUUUUUUCCAUAUCAUGGACCAAGGAAUUUUAGUGCUAGUAUGGUACCAUAUGAAAACUUAAAGAUAAGAACGUCAUGAAUGGACAAUACAUGUUAUGAUCCAAAGUUUACAAUGAAAACAAGUACCAUUAAAGUGCAAUGAUCAAGUAGAAUUUAAGAAAACAAUCAAACUUCAUUUAAUGAACAAAGACUUUAAGCCUACUAAAAUGGGGUUUCAUACCUCUUGAAUGUUAUCCAAAAAUUUAUGAUGUAUAUUAAUUGUAUUUUUAUAUAUAAGUCUUCUUAUUUUGAUAUAACGGUGGAAUCAUGCUCACAAUUUGGAACAUUAUUACAACUUUUGAAAUGUCUAGCUAGUCUAGUGAAAUACCUAAAGUUUUACCUUAAAGGCUAUAGAAACGUAUGGAAAUUUGUGUUGAUCAGAGAUGGAAAUUUGUGUAAAUGCAGAAGUUUAAUUUGGGUUUUGAACCUUGGAAACUUUUUAAGCUUUGCUUUUUUGUGUAUUAUUGUGGUAAAACAUAAAUAAAUGGAGCUUUUGAGUGAGGUUUGAUCUAUGUUGUUUGUGAAGUAUGGGCUGAUGGAAGUUUUAAGUAAUAUGUGUAGUUUAGUCUAUAACUGGAGAUGAGAUUGAAUUGAUCAUUUAGAGGUUUUGUUGCAUAGCGUUCAUGACUUCUUUGAGUUUUUUUAGUUGUUCAACACUGUUCUUCAAGAGUUUCUUUAUCAUAUGUAAAUAGAUUUAUGUUCAUAUAAACAACAAAAAUAAGCCAACAAACUUCCUCAUAUGUGAAAUUAAAAGUAAAAGUGUUCCGUAAUUGUUAAAAAACAAUGAAAAAUUCAAAUUCAAGAGUACAGUAUUGAAUUCUAAACUCUAACAAUUCCAAGAACUGAUAGGACCACUUAAAUAAAUAAGAUAAACUUCCUCAUGUUAGUAGAAAAAACAAUAUGGCAACCACCAUUUUAGGCCUUUUUAUCAAGUUUUUCAAAUUAAAGGUUAUCAAUGAUAACAACUAUUAUCGAUAUAUGUUAUCAGUUGCUAUCAUUAAUAAUUGCUAUUAGUUGUUAUCAUCGAUAUGAAUGUUUUUUUUUCAAUUUUCUCAAAUUGAAAGUUAUCAUUGAUAGCAACCAUCAGUAAUAGCAAUUGAUAGAUGCCAUAAGUAAUUACUUUACUAAUUGAUUCUAUUAGUGAUAAUUUUUAAUUUGAUAAAUUUGUUAUAUGACUGAUACGAUAUCUAAUAUGAAAAUUGACAGCAAUUAAACUGCAAGACUUAACAUUUUAGAAAAUUUUACCACUAAAAGGGUAAUAUAUAUUUUAAUUUUUUAGAAAAAGAAUAGAGUUUAUAAUUUGAAAUAAUUUAUUUUUAAAUAAUUUAUAUCUAUUUAAUAUAAUUCUCCAAUUUAAAAUUUGAAAUCUAAAAUAUAGAUACAAAGAGAACAUAAAAAAAUAUCGUUAUACACAGUUGCACUAUGUAAACCACAGAAUUAAAGAACAACUUAAUAUUAGAAUAUCUAAAUUGUCUUCCAACUACAUAUUUAAUGAACUCAAUCAAUUGAAAUUGCAAACAAUAGAUGCUCUUGAUUUUUGAAUAUAUAAGAAAGAAAUUGAUGUGAUAAUAGAUUUGACAAGGUUGAUAUUGAUGUGCAUGACAUUCAUAUGAAUCAGAGCUAGACUUACUUUAAGAAAAAUGUAUUUAGUUUGGGUGCAUGCAUGCAACAUUUUUAGAAUAGACAAAGAAAAAGUUAGUUUGGCCUCUAAUUUGAUUUUUUUUAAAAAAAAGUAAUUCAAUUUUGACAUAGUAAGCUGGAACUACUUAAACCAAUAAAGUAAAGUGUAUUUCAUAACUUUUAGAUUUUUCUUUGCUUCAUUUAACUAAGUGGUUUUCUUUAAAUUUGUGAUUCAUCCCUUUUAAAAUAAAAGAUAUCAAUCAAAAUUGAAAUUUUUACCUACUUGAUUAUCUCAAAAUUGAAAUCAUAAGCUUUCCAUUUUGAGUUUGGUAGGUUAUAAAUUUUUAUUUUAUAUUUAAAAGAUAAGAUACCAAUUAGACACAAAACUAAAAUCUUUCCAAAGAUAAAUCUAAAGCUUAGUUAAGAAGUUGUUAAACACUUACAAAAUUAUAUACAAACACAAAAUCAAAGUUUCAAAGUUUAUUAUACAAUUCGUUAAAAGUUAGCUUAAGGAUCUAAUAGUCCACAUAUAAUGUUACAAACCUGACCUUGUAAUUUAGGUCUGCUUGAUGAUGAUUCCAAUUUUAACUUUUAUGUUUUCAAAAUGGAUGGUUUUUUCUUUCAAUUUCUUUAUCAUGGUUUUCACUCAUGUUAGAAGAAACUUUGAAUUCCUAUUAAAUCCUAAUAAAUGAAACAACAAAAUUUAGAAACUAAGAUUUUAUUAGUUUGUAAAACUUUUGCUUGAUCUUUCUAAUUUAGGAAGAAACUAAAGAUGGGUAACAAAAAGAAAAGAGUGUUUAUAAAUUUAGUUUUUUUAAAAAAAUAAAAAUAAAAAGUAAAAAGUUAAUGUUUAUUAUUCUUAACAAAAAGAAACUAAAAAUAGAGUUAUCCCCAUAACUUCAACUUUAAAAAGAAAAACAAAUCUGGACAGGUUGAAUAAUCAAUCCUUUCUCACCUUUUUAAUAUUGUCUUUUUCUUCUUUUUCUCUUUUUCUCUUUUAAUUUUUAUUUUUGUGAGAUGAUCUUCAUGAGAAAUAACAAUAAUUCAUGUCUUUUUCCAAGACCUUUCAUGGGAGGUGGGAUCCAAUAAAAGUUUUAAUUUAUUGAAAUGCUAAUUUUUAUGGUUUUGGUUCAAGAAGGACACACCAACAAUAUUAUUAAUUAUCUUCUUUUUUGUAGUUUAUAUAACACGCAAAGAAUAUUAGCUUUGUGUAACAAAAGGUGGUACAAAAAAUGGCUGUUGGAAUUGGAUCAUCGGCCCAAAUUUUCACAAAACCUUUAUUGCUUACUGCUUACUAACAACUUUUUUGCUGUUAUUUUUAUAGGAAAAUUAUGGCAAAUACUAAAUGAAUCUGAAAACAUAACACAACUGCAAAUACACUAAAUAAUAUCGACUAAUCAAUUUGUAAUUUCAUACAAACUUAGGUCCAUUUUGUUUGGUUAAACCAUAAGCAUGCUUAACCAACAAGCAUGAACCUCAUUGGUCAUAACUCAUAAGGGAGGUGGGUUAUCAUGAAGCUCAAAAAUUGGGCAGUGGAGAACAUUAUAUAUAUACACACACACAAAUUUGAAGAGAAAGAUGAGCAUGGUGGUGAGCUUCAGUUUGGUGUAAGAAAAGAUUAUGUGAGUUAUUUCUUUCCAUUCAAUGAGGGUUUUGUAAGCCUUGUAAAAGUUAUUUAUGAGCAAUUUUUUUCCAGAGAAAUCAUUAAUGUUUUAAACUCUUUGUUGUUUUUUCUUAUUAUUUUAGUAGAAUCUGCAUUAGUAGCAGAGAACUGGAUGUAACUCACACUAACUGAACUAAAAUAAUCUAGGUAACAUCUCUCUUUCCUUAAAUUUGAUUUGUUUUCUUUCUGUUGUUGUUGCUUGAAAGGUUAGGUUGGUUUGUCUAUUCUUUUAAGCUAGUCACUUACAAAUUGUUUAUUCCACAUAAUUUGGAACUUGAAUUUGAACUUGGAUUAUUGGAUAAUAUGUAUUGUCUUAUUUUUGUUGAUAAUUUAGACUGUUACGUACUAUUAACAAACUUGUAUUAGAUGACAAAAAAAAUUAGAAAAAAACUGCUCAUAACACCUAUUUUUUGUAUAUUACAAAUUUGACAAAUAUGACGGAAAUAAAAUAAUAAAUAGAUGAUAAUUUAAUGGUAAUGUAUUUUUAAAUUUGCUACUUUUGUAAUUUUGAAAAAUGUAAAUGACACGAGCUCUAUUAUCAUUUUUUUUUUUUUUUUGAUAUUUUUACAAACUUUUCCAUACUAUUAUCUCAUCCUUGAUGGUAGCUCAUAUUGAAAAUUAUCAUUGAUAGUAGGUAUUAGAGAUAAUAACUAAUAACACAUAUUUUUUUGAAUUGAAUUAUGUAAUUAAUUUCUUGUAUCAAACAUAUUUAAUUUAUCAUUUGAUUUCGUAAUGACUAAUAUUUUCAUUUCAAUCAAUUUACUACAAAUUUUAUUACAUCGAGUAAACCAAUGAAUAAAUAAUAAUAAUAAUAAUAAAACUAAAAAACAAAUAAAUAAAUAACUUUUUGUGACGUCUGCGCCACAAAAAUUGUCCACGACGUAAUGGGAUUGUGUGCAGGAGAAAUAUUUAUGUGGCGUGGCAGCGAGCUGCAUUGCGAAAAGUAUCUUCGACAGAUGUUUUGCGACGUUGCUGCCGACGUCGUGUGCGGCGUCGUGGUAGCUUUUCAUGACGUUGUUUUAUGUUUUCGACAACAUUGAUGUGGGUUGAGGAAGAGCGAAUUUAUUAUAGUGAAUUGAUAGUAGCUAUAUCAGUGGCUAUCGUUGAUAUCUACUGUCAUAAUUAGCUUUCCAUUUUAGAAAAACGAGAUGAAGCAUAGAAAAUGGUGGUUGAUUGAGUGUAAGAUUUUUAAUGAGUCACUAAUUUUUGUACUAUAAAUACAAUUAAAUUAUUUAAUGUUUGUAGUAUAUAUGCAAUUUUUUCUUCUCACUAUUUUAUCAUUUAUGCAAUCCGCCUUUGUUGGUAUGGAUAUAAAUUGAGAAUGCUAAAAUGAAGGUUGUUGGUUUCACAAAAAUUAAAAAAAAUGUAUUUUUAAAAAAUUAGAUUAAUAAAUUAUGUUGAAAUGAAGUUUAUAAAAAUAUAGAAAUAUGGAUGAUGAUAAGGAUAUUGACAACAACAAAAAAAGAUAGUAGGACGAUAGCAAAUAUAUGUUUAAACUAAUUUUCCAAUUUGCACAUAAGUCCAAGGAGAUUGGUUAACAUGACAUAACCAAUUUUUUGAAAAAUAAUAUAUCGUUAUAAUAAUUUUACCAAUAAUAAUCAAGUAUAUAACAACAUUAAACAAAUUUACAAGUAUAAUAAAUUUUUAUUGCUCUUAAAUUUUUUAGUUUUUAAGUGAUAAACUAAUAUUUAUUAUGUGUUCUAUGCAUAAUAACAAAAUAGAUGACAAAUCAAGAAAUUUAAAUAGAGAAAUAGUGUUAAUAGUCCUAAUUUUCGAAAAUCAAAUGGUUACCAAACAAUGACCUAAACAAAUUAAACCUUUUUUUUAAUUAUUUUUACACCAUAAUUAUUUUACAUUUUCUUUAGUUACAUUAUAAUUUAAACUUUGUCAUCUAAAAAAAUUAGAGGAGUAGGAGGAUCCCUUCAAGUACUUUACACUCUUUAUAUAAUAUAUAUAACUAAAAAAGUUCCAAUACUAGCAGAUAGCUCGGUAGUAAAACUAUCAUACAAUUUUAUAAAGCCUCCAUGAAUAAAAUUUUUAGAUUACUUAAAUUUUUAAAACUAAAAGAAAUGUGAUGAACAUUAUCUAAUAUAAUUGAGUAUGAUAUUAAAAAAAUUCAAACAGCCAUUGUCAAAAUAAUAAUAAUAAAGGAAUAAUUAAAUAAUUAAACCAAGUUGAAUUGGAUUAUAUAAAAUUAUUAUUGUCGAUAAAACUUUUCCCUAUUUUCUGCUAUAUCAUUUCUGAGGGUAAAAGUACCAAAUAUAUAUACACAUAAACACGUUGAGGCAAUAAAGAAUAAUAAUAAAUAAUGACAGCUGUAAAGAAAUUGAAGGAAAUACCUCAUUGGUUAGAGAAAAUAGGACUAUAUAAGCGUGGAUAACAAUUAAAUCUCAUUAAGUAUAAGCAGUGGUGGAUCCAUAAAUUUUAUCUAGGGGACACAGAAUACUAUAUAAUAAACACACUAAAAAUGUUUAAAAAAAUAUAUCGACGUUUUAAUGAUGUUUCAAUAACAUUUACUACAUUUGUAGCAAUAAAAAAAAUACCGACAACUUUCACAUGAUUUUUUUAAAAAUGUAAAUAUGUGGAUUUAAAAUUUACAUACAAAAAAAAGAAAAAAGUAAUACAUUUUUCAUAGAAUAUUGUUGAGGGAGUGGAAGUUUGGAUCACCCAUUUUGUUGCUUUUUUUUUUUUUUGUUAGAUAACAAAUGAGAUCUAGGAAAUAAGAUAGGGUUAUAUAUGAGGAUUUUUUCCUCUUUUAAAGAAAUUAUCUUCCUUUUGGGAAAUCAAAUUAUCUUUCUUUCGCAAAAAAAUUAUUGGUAUUUGAAAGAAAAUCUAUUUCGUAAAAAUAAUUGUAGUAAAUGAGAAUUGAACUCAAAACCAAGAGGGCACAACCACUACAGUAGAAGCAAAAUUUAUGCAAAGUGAAGCUAAAUUUAAUAUAUAUUGUAAUCUAACAUUUCAAAAUUAAUAUUAAAAUACAAAAACUGGUAAUGUGAGUGGGGGCAUGUGCCCCUAGCCUUUUAAUAAAUCCGUCCUUGAGUAUGAGGCCUUUUGGAGUGGUUUCAAAAGCAAAACUAUGAAUACGUAUAUUUAAAACAAGCAAUAUCAUACUAUUACGAAGAUUUUCGGAGAGUUCGUUGUCUUAACCUAAACAAACUUUUUGUUUUAGAAAAUAUGGGUCAAAACUUAGGGUUAUCCAAAAUUGACAGCAAAACUCAAAUAAUUUUGUGGAUAUGUUUUUCUUUUCAUUUGUGUAUUCCCAAAAUGGCAGUGACUUUAUUGUAAAGUUUUAUUGAGUUUUUUCACUAUAGAUUCUUCAUUUUUGAAGUAAUAAUCCUCUUUCUUCAUUUUAGUUUAACUUUUUUUCUUGAAUUAUUCUGUUAUAUAUAUAUAUAUACAUAUAUUCUCCUUUUUGUGUAAGUAAUGGCCACCAAAAUUCACUUUUCUAGUUUGCUAAACCCUUUAUUUAGAAUUGGAAUAACUUCCCUCCAUUACAUUUCAUUUUUCAUAUAAUUAAGUGAAUAAGUAUCUUUUCAAUUUUUGAGAUUAUUUGCAUAAUUUUAUUUGUUUCAUACAAUUUUUACUCAUUAAUAUCUUAAUAAUACCCUUACAAAAAUUUCAUUAGCUUAUUACUAAUUUAAUUAAUAUAUAAUGUCAAUUUAUAUAAAAAAAAAAUUAAAAUAGGUUAUAUCAUUUUUUGAACCAAAUAAAUAUAAGCAGUAAAAUAAAAUAAAAUUUUAGAUUUUAUCACCAUGUCUAUUCGUGUAUGAUAUUGAUAAAAAUUUAAAAUUUGUUAUAUUUGGUAAAUAUUUUGGUCUAUUUUAUAAUAUUUUAAAAUUUAAAACUUAAAUAUAUAUUCUCACAAACAACCUCUUUUAACAAAUCAUGAUGUAACAAAACCAAAUAUAGGUUAUGAUUUAUAUGCAUGGAUUUUCAUCCUAAUAAAAAAACAAAAUUGAAAAGAGUGUUUUUCUUUAAAAACAAAAUUGAAAACUAAAGAGCAGAAAGAAAGUUUUCAUCAAAACCUUAUUUUAGAAAAGAAAGAAGAAGAAAAGAAAAGAAGAAAGUUGGGGAAAGGGAAAGGGAAAGGGGGUUUCACUAUCAAUAUCAAUUAAGAGCAGUGACAAUUAGGAUUGUCUUGAGGUGAGUGAUUCUGUGGAUGAACACAAUUUCACAUGCCCUCUACUGCUUGUAAUAGCUUUAUGAUAAUUUUAAAUAAAAAAGGAAAUGAAAUAGGAUUUUGUUAUUUUAUUUUCUGCUUUUUGUUUUUCUUAUUUUUAAUAAAACUAAUUUUUCAAAAAAUAAAUAAACAUUCCUUUGGUGCCUCAAAGUCAUAAAAUGGGGUCAUGGCCUAAGAGAGAUCAGCCAUAGACCCCAUUUGGUCAACUCAAUAAUUAGUCAGGUGGGUCAAUUUGUUUCAUUAGGUCUAAAAGGUCUUGUUCAUAAUCCAAUUCAACACCCCUUUUUUUCUUUUUCUUUUUUUUUCUUUUUUUGUCUUGGUUUUUAAAAGGAAAUCAAAUAUGUAAUUUUAAACAAUAAACACUGUUUGAAAAAAUAUAUAUGUUAACAUGUAUAGUUUUAACUUUUUUUUAUCUUUAUUAUACUAAAAGAUUAAUAUUUAAAGUACAAGUUUGAUUUGGACUAAUAAAAAGAGAAUGGUAGUAUUGAAAGGGGGCAAAUUUUGUAGUAAUUUCUUGUGUAACAAAAACUUAAACAAAUCUAUCUUUUUUAUAUAUGUAAAUCGUAAGUCAAACUUUUAAUGCAUUUAAGGAAAAAAGAAUACUAAUUCUCACAAAGUAAUCAAAAUUUUAUUGGCUGAAACAUAGUAUGGAUGGACUUUCCUUAUAUAAGUCAGUGAUUUUUAAGUUUAGUAAAUUUAUUGACAAAGUAUAAAAUGUAAUGAAUGAAAAUGGUUGAUGUACAUAAUUUCAGUUCUUUCGAAUUCAUUGGUCAAGUAAGGACGAAAAUUUGAAACCUUUGACGCCUAAUCAUUAAAUUAUAAACUUUGACGCUAUAUUUUAAACGCUUAAACUUUCGUAAAUAACAAAAUUGGGUCCCUACUAUGUUUCUUGUUGUCUCCCUCUCUAUUUUCUUCCUCCCUACUCAUACAGGUUUGAAGGUAAUUGAUAUGGUUGUAACUUUAUCAUAUUGUUUUUUAAGAACUAUAUAUAUAUAUAUUCCUCGUCAAAAAACAUUGGAUGAUCAAUUAUAUGUUGCUAACUCUUCAUUCUUAGUGGUCUAAAAAUAAAAACAGAAGAGAGAAAAAUCAUCAUUAGUUAUUGAAUAAGUGAAGCUUAAAAAAAUUAUUCCAAAAUGAUAACCUGCAGACAAGUAUGAGAGAAGAGUCAAUAUGAAUUAGAUAUUUGAAUUGAUAAGAUGUUGGUUUUAUCAUUUUGGCUAUGUUAUUAGACCAAAUUUUCGAAACAAAAAUAAAAAGGACAAAUUAAUUUGUUAAAUGAAGUUAAGUUUUAUUGAUUUCAAUAAUAUAUUGUGGUGAUUAUAAUCUCUAAUAAAAAAAAAUUAUAUCUUCUCUACAAGGUCGUAGAAGAAAGUUUUAAAACGUUCUAAGUGUUUUUAAAAAUUCAGGUUCUAAACGUUCGAGAAUUUAAAAGAGAAGUGUCUUCUAAGUCUACAGUUAUUCUGUUGUCGCACUUCGUUUUGUCUCUCACGUCUCGGUUCGUUCGUCAAACAAUUUAGUUUUCUAAUCAGAACACCAAAGAUAUCAUUACUCGAACAGAAGCGGCAAAACAGAAAACAAGUUAAUUUAUAGCUAAGUCGUGGAUCACCAUCUCUUUAAGACGUUUCACGGCUCUGCUCUAGUUGUGCAAAUAGUGUGGUAGCCCCAUCAUCCCCGGAAUAAAAUAGCUUCUCAGUCUUUAAUCGAUUUUAUACCGAAACCAAUUGAAAAUUAAAUCACAACACUCAAAGACACUAUAAUGCUCGGGAUACAGAAAACGAUUUUGGAGAGUAUCAAUUCAUGAGAUUUUGUUUUUCCAUUUAGGUGAAGAAGGGGAUGCAUAUAUAUGGGUGGAGAAAAAAUAACGGUCAAAAGACAAACGGUCACAAACAAAUUAAUGACCACGAUUUACCAAAAGUUAAACGGUUAAUAAAGAAAAAGUUUUAGCAAAAAACAUAUAUGUAAAUUAUCUCUCUUCUCCUCGCUCAUGGAGACAUGGACAUAUCCACAUUUAUCUAUCUCUUUCUUCAUUCCAAAACUUGGGUUUCUUAAGGGUCCAAAUCCAUGAAUCAUGUCGCAACAUGCUCGCGAUGCGGAGCGUCCGAUCUCCCUUGUUUAUUUAAUUUCAAUAAAUAAAUAAAUUUGGAGUCGCCACCAACUAUGUUAAGGUGUGAUUGGUCACCCAAAGAAAAAAAAUAAAAAAGAUGUCUAUGUAAAUUCAUGAGAUUUAAGUUCAAGAAUAAGUUGUAUAAGGAAGGUGUUAGCACUCUACAACACCUAUAAAAUGGUUAUCCAAUUUUACCUUUUAAACUAAAUUAAAGGUUCACAAAACAAAGUUUUUAUUUAUGUUUUUUUUAAAAUGUCUCAUGCUUAUCGAUUCAUAUGGAAGAAAAUAAAACUUAAGCAUGAAUUGAUAAUUAUGGGUGGCACGGUAGCCAUUAGAAAAAUGAAGUUUAUUUUUGUUUCAAAUGAUAUAUUUUUUUUAUAUUCACCAAGAAUAUUAAGAUACCAAAAUUUGAUAAUUUAAUCUCUAUCAUAGGUGUCUAAUGAAAAAUUUAAUGUAUCUAAGAAUUAAUAAAUUAAUGUAAAACACUCCGUCCCAUUUAAAAUAUGAAAUGUGUUUAUAAUUUUAAAAACAAUCUAUUAAUUAAAUUUCAAAUGGAUAAAUUAUAAAAUCCAUAAAAAAACAAUAAUUUUCUCCAACUUAGAUUUUUAUAUUUAAAUUAAAAAAUAAAUAAUAAUAACCACAAAACAUUGUGAAAUUUGAAAAAUACUUUAAGUUAAUAUGUUAAGAUAAAAUAAUACAGAUAAAAUAAAUAAAUAGAUAAUAUAAGAAUGAUGCAAAAAUAAUUAAUUAAUGCAGCAUGAUGCAAAAUAAUUAAUUAAUGUAGAAAGCAAGAUGUCAAAUGAAUAAUUAUUAACACAAGAUAUCAAAUGAAUAAUUAACGCACGAUGUCAAAUAAUUAACCAUGCCACAAUACUAAUUAGGCCAAAUGGAUAUUAGGACAGGAGGCCAAAUGGAUGUCAAAUCUAUAAUUAUUAACGCUGAAUAAUUAAGACAAGAUGUCGAAUGAGUGUCAAAUAAUUAAAAUGAGACAAAUAAUUAAACCACCAAAUGGGUGCCAAAUAAUUAAAGUUGGUCAAUGCAAAUAAUUAAUGCAGGAUGCUAGAUGAAUAAUUAACACACCAAAAUGUGUGCCAAAUAAGUGGCGCGAUCCUAUGAUGCUAAUUAAUUAAUGCAGAUGCAAAUAAUUAACUCAAAAUGUCAAAAUAAUUAAAACAUAUGUCAAAUGAGUGUCAAGUAAUUAAAGUAGGUAAACAUGCUAAUUAAUUAAUGCAUGAUGCAAAUGAAGAAUUAACACGUUAAUACAUAUGCAAAUAAUAGCCAAAUAAUUAAUGCACGAUGCCAAGAUGCUAAUUAAUUAAUUAAUCAAAUGAAUAAUUAACACAAGAGCCAAAUGACUGGUUCAAAUGAAUAAUUAACGCAUCGGCCAAAUGGAUAAUUCAAAUGAAUAAUUAACACACCUUGGUGUCAAAUAAUUAACUGUGCAUGACACUAAUUAAUUAUCACACUCAAAUGGGUAAUUCAAAUAAAUAAUUAACACGGUUAAAUGAGUGUCAAAUAAUUAAUGGCAGAAUCAUCAAUCAUGAAUUAAAAAAAACCACAAUAAAUUUUAAGUCAUAGUAAUUAAAUUAACUUAAAUUAAAAAAAAAAAUCUUACAUGGCAAAACAAGGGUGCCUUAAAUCCAAUAAAUGCAAAGUGUUUGUUUCUUGAUCCUCUCGAAUUCUUCCAAAUGAAAAGUUUUUUUUUUUUACAAUAAAGUUGUACAUUUUCUCUAAAAAUUUCAACAUCCUCCUCCGAAGGUUAGAUCAUUUUAUUUUUAGAUUAGUAAGUGAAGUGAAAGACUACGGAGAAAAAGUGGGAGAAUGAGAGAAAGUAAGAGAGUGGAUGAAAGUGGGAGAGUUGGAGAGUAGGAGCGUCGUGACAAUGAAACAAAAAUAGUGAGAUGGUCAAGAAAAAUAGGGGGAAAAACUUAUUAAUUUUCAUUUUUUUAUUUUGUUUUUGUUUUUAUUUUUUAGUUUUUAUUCUUCUUGUUUUAAAACAUAUAUUUAGAGAUUAGAUAUGUAAUUACUACGUCGAAAUUAAUUACAGACUCACAAGAGCAUAAUACAUAUUAAUUACGUUGUGGAGACUUAUGAUAAAAACGUAAAUAUUGAAAUAAUUACGUUAUACGAAGAAUGUGGGUAUUUUGGCAUUUUAUGAAAUACCAUACACAUGUGGCACUCCCGAAAUCACGUUAGUUGACACUUUAUUUCUUCAAUCCGACGAACAUCCAAUUAUAGAUGGAAAACAAAGUUGGUAGAAAUUAUAAUUUAACUAAUAUUAUUCAAUCAAAUGAAAAUGUUUUGGUUUAAAAGUCUUUUUAAACACCAUUAAUGCAAAGAUGUUUUUAAUUUUAAUUUCUUUACACUAUUGUACCAUUACAUGAAUUAAUGGUACUAAACUAAUUAUAUAUAUAAUGUUAUAUUUUUAGAAUAAGUUAAUUUAAAUUUAAUAAGAAACAUUGAGAUACAAAUUAGUGAAUUCUCGCGGAAACAAAAGAGGGCAUAAAAAAGAUUGAUAUGUAAUCUACAUUUAAACAACUGUUAUUACUUAAAGUUACACAAAAGUAAACACAGGUAAACAUUAUAGUGUAAUUAUUAUUGCAGAUAUAGAAAUAAAAUUUCAAGUAUCAAUAUAAUAAAAUUCAUAAGAAAACAAAUAUCAUAAGUACUUACCACAUAAAAUUCAUAAAUAUUUCAAAUGAAAAACACUAGUUGAAUGUGUAAAAUAAAUAAAUACCCAAGUUCAACGAGGUAUUGGAUUUGUAUAUGUCCUUAAAUUGUAUUGGAUUUGAUGGACAAAUGGAACAUGGUCGACAACAGUAGAAACAUAAAUUAGAAAAAAAAGGAUAACAACCACGACACAUCUUUGUCUUCGAUAAUAGCAAUAACAUAAGGAUUGCUGCAACAUCACGAUAUAAUGAAAGUUGAAAAAUUAAAUAUUCAAAAGAGGAAAAAAAUUUAGAUUGAAUUAGAUAAACAAGUUGAAUGAAAGACAUGUUGAAAGGAGCAUCAAUCAAAUGGAAGUUAAGAUGAAAGAUUGUUUUCAUCUCAUCUACCAUUGAACAAGACCCAACAAGUUAAAGAUUCAAAUUUCAAAAAUAAAUUAAGAUCUAACAAGAUUUUAAUUUUCAAUUUAUUAAGGGUUAAAAUUUAGUGAAGGGUUAUUUUAAAAUAAAAACAAAGGCUGAGAAUCAGCCAAUAAAAAAUAAUAAUAUGAUUAUUUUAAAAUUAAGAGAACUAAAGUUUUAAAAUCUUCGACAAAAUUGUUAAAUUUCAAGAUAUUAAACUAAAUUAUCUAGAGAGACUUUUUAUAAGAGCACAGAUAUUGAAACAAUUAUAGUAAUUUAAAAAAAUAUCAUAAUUAUGGUAAUUUAAAAAAAAUAUCAUGCACGGGCCGUUUUUCAAAAUGGUCGCUUGGAAACAAGGUUAAAUAUCUAAUUAUCGAACUUUUAAGGUUGCAUUUGAAAAUAUGGGGAAAUGGAAAAAAACCUCUCCUAUAUGCGGCAAUCUUUUCUUCAUUCCAGAAUUGCCACUUCAAGAGUAUCAAAAAUGUCUUGAAAGAUGUAACCAUAUCUUUGGUUAGGAGUUUUAGUUUGAAACUUCAAAUUUAACAUCUUUGGAAGGGUAUGUUAUGUGUGUUGGUGUCGGGCAGGAAUAAGAGAAUUGAGAUUUCAUGGAAAGCUGAGGAAGACAGAGAGAAGGGGAGAGGAGAAAAAAUGACCUAAUUCUUUCAUUUUCCAAAACAUUUAACACUUUGAAUUUCAUAGUCAAAUACUAAACGGUCCAAAAUGUUCUCAAUUAUCACAAUUGCAUAACCAAGUAUGUGGAGGGAAUAAUUGCAAUGAACACAAUAUUUCAGGUACGUUUGUGCAGAUAAUCCCCUUCUUAAAAAUUUAUCUCCCAAUUCUCAUAAGAUAAUCUUUUAAAAUAAGUUCGUACAAAAAAAAAAAAAAAAAAACCUUUAUGUUACUUUGUAAUGUCAGUUGAGGUCAAAGAACUCUCAGCUCCUCAACUCAACUUGAAUGAGAUAUGGCAUAUCCCAUUUUGUUCUAACUAAAACUACGCAAAGUUCUGCAAUAAAGAAAUCAAGACAUAGAAAUUUGAAAGCAUCAAUGAAUUUGCUAAAAAGACAAACGUACAAGUUUAAAGGAUGGUUGUAAUAGGUAGCACUUUUAGAACUUAUAAUUCUUCUUACAACAAUAUUUUUAAAUAAUUGCAAAUAUACCAAAAUAUAUAAUUGAUACAAUCUAUCACAACUACUAGUGAAACAACAUUUUGUCAAUUGCUAAUUGCUAAUGGAACUAUUCUAUUAGCAAAUAGUCGGUCCAUAUUCUUUCUAAAUUUUGUCAUAUUUGUAAAUGUUUUCACAUUGUGCUGUCUCCAUGCACACCUUGUGCAUGGUUACUAUGCUUACCACUACAAUCAAUUUUAAAAAAAGAAGCACGACUUUUCCAAUGCUCAAAAACACACUUCUUUUUACACCUAGAAAGUUAUUCCAAAUAGAAAUAAAAGUUCAAGUAGCUCACAGCAAAUUCAUCUCUACCAAGGGUUGAUGAUGCAAAAGAAACAUCUUCAAUCAAACAAUAUGCUAUAGAAACGAACAUUCGACUAAGGUUUAAAGGGAAAAAAGUUAUGUCGCUUGUGGUUUUCAUAUGAGCUAAGAGACUUUAAGAGAGUAUAUUCCCCUAUUACCAAAAACGAUAUUGAAAAUUUAGGCUCAUCCUGUUUUGCUUCUAAAGUCUAUUAGAAAAAGAUAGUUCAGUUUGCUAGUAAUAGAAAAGAAGCAAGAAAAAUUGAAAACAAUUACUUUACUUGAAAGUUAGAUCCCCCCAUUAAAGAAGGCUUGUAUAGGAAAUCACUUGCUCUUUUUUGGUUCUCUAGCAUACUCAUCGAUCAAUGCUUCGACAUCUUUCCAGAAGAGUCCCUCAACUAAAACUCCAUCUUUAGUAAACCUGCAAGAUAAUACAUUUUUUGUUGGUAACCGUAAAGAAACUAAGAAACUAGACUCCAGAAAUGGAGAGAAAGAGAGACCAGCGGGUGACACUCUUGGUAAAUUGAACUUGUUCAUUAGCGGAAAUCGAUUUGGGAUCCGAACUAGAUAUGGUCAGCGUGUACAGAUCUGAGAAUCUGGGCAGUUUUGAAGAGACUAUCAGCCCAGUGCUGGUGAAGGAUCCCUGUAUAGAGAGAUUACAACACAAGAUUACAAAUGACCUCAAAAGGUUUAGCAUGCAUGCAGUUUCAGAAAGCAUUGGUGAAGUUGUAAAGUUCAAACAAAUUGCCCAGAAUUCCUAAAUAAUAUUUGUACAUGGUAUCAUUCUAUCAUUCUUGGAAAAGAAAAAAAGGGAAAUGUUAGCCUCCCUUCUUCCCAACUCCCAGAUUCCAUAGGUAUCCAAAUAAAAAAAUUCCUCAUUAAUACAAGACUUUAAAAGAAAUGGCUAAAUAAUUCCCAAAAAAUUAUAAAUUAAAAAAAAAAAAACUGAAGAAAAAAAAAGGAAAAAAGAAAACCUUUCAAAUUUCUAGACAUGAAGAAGCAAAGAAGUUGAUUCUUCUAAAAUGUGCUAGUAUAUUCAGAUUUCAAAGACGUUAUAAAUGAGAGCCACACAAAAAACAAACCCACAAAGAAGGAAGCUUUCUAUACAAGAAGGGACUCCAACUAUAUGAAAUUGCCUAUAGAAUAGUUACAAAAGGUCCUUGAAAUCGAAGCCCACAAAAAUAUAUGAUAAUGAACUAAGAGUAGGGACCAAAUUUCCUUAGAAUUCCUCUCCAAUAAUCACCCUACUAUUCACCCUACAAGACCCAUAAGAUCGCACACACCCUGGCAUCUCCAUCCACAAGCUGAUGAAAUUGGAAUAAGAAGUUCAGUUAUUCAAGAAACACAACAUCUAUGAAAAAAACUAAAAGAGAAAGAGAAUAGUGUUUAGAAACCAAUUACCCAAAUUCCAAUAUAAAAAGGAAAAGGUAAUUGUUCAGAACACACCCAAGGAACCCAGUUCUACAUUAACUUGAAACUCGAAAUCCAUUCAUAUUACAAAAAACUAUAAGAGAGGUUUUGUCAAGCUUUUUCUGAAGUCAAAACUCCAAAUGCAAGUUAAGAAGGCCUUUAAGUUGGGAGUAAAAACAGCAGCUUUCAUUGAUAAAAAAAAUGAUAAAAUAAAUAAAGAAUACAGGGGCACCCUUUGUGCAAAAUAGUAUCUUUAGAAAUGUUGCAAAAGAUAUUCAGUAUCCAAGCCGAAAAAGAAAAACAAAAUCUAACAAGAGACAAACCAUCACUAGAGUCCUCCAAACCUCUAAUACUCCUCUCUUCCCGAAGCAUAGAUUAACGAAAAAACAAAAGAAAGAAAUGUAUCACUACCAAAACUUAUACAACUUGUGGUUUUUUGAGCUGGUUAUAUUCAGAAACCCUAAUAUGUAGCCAAUAGACAUUAUAAAUCAAUAGUAAAAAUAAACAAUGCACGAAUAUCAUUUCUUUUUCAUUGUUUAUAAGAACUUACAUUGAAAAAAAGUGAAAGAAUAUACGGACAUACAAAAAUCAAGCCCACAAAAAAAGGGGACUCCCUCUACAAGAAGGGACCCCAACUAUACAUGUCUAGAGGAUAAUUACAAAAAACCUUCAAAAUUGAAGUCCAAUAAGAAACAUGAAAUGAACAAGAGAUCAUAUUUCUAUUGCAUCCCUCUCAACCCCUCUAAACAUGAAAAUGAAUAUCAUAUAUAAUCAUGAUGUUAAUGCUUUAGAUAGUGGUCAUAAACAUACAAACGGGCUAGAAAACAGGAUUGUUCGAAAAGUUGAAGGAACUUACUGCAGGAGGAUACGUGAACAAAAUUGCGUUCUUCUCCUUGGUGUAAACAAUAAACUGCAAGAUCCCAUUAAAAACUACAUACUUGCCAGAGUUAAAGAUCACAUAAGAGACACCACCAACGAUUUGCAUUCCACUAAACGAAAACAAAACAUAAAAAACUAAAAAAUUGGAGCAGGGUACAACACAUUUCAACCUUCGAAAAUAUCCACCAUUUAAUCCAAUACCCAUUCCCAUCGGACACCAGUAUCAAGAAAUGAAAUUCAAUCUAUCAACAAAAGAUCUAAACGGUAAAAAAUAAAUAAAUAAAUAGAAAACGCGAUUCAUUAAAAAAAAAAAAAAAAGGAUAUAAUAUAAUGCAACCGAUCAAGAAGUCGCGAUUCUCAGGGAAUUUCUUUUUGUAAAAUUGAGCGACCAAAGCUAUGAUGAUGAUGACAGUGCCCAUAAUCAAUUUGACAUUACUCAACCUGACGUCUUCAACAUAGCCGCGAGUGGUGACAAUCUGCAAGGAAAAGGCUCAAACCUAGAGUAAAAUUGAAGGGAAAAGGAAAUGGAAUAAAGAGAUUGAAUUACCUCAGAAACAGAUUCAUCGAGUAGGUGUUUGAGAGAGUGAUGAUCCAAGAGAUUGGCCUUUUUAGCAUUUUUGGACGCCAUUUUUUGAAAUCUUUUUGGGUUUCAGUUCUCUUCGCCGUCUACGAAGGUUUGUCUGAAAUCUGAGAAAGAGGAGACUCAGUCUUCUUCGACCCUUUUUUUCUUUUUUCUUUUUAAUUAUAUUUUUCUCUCUUCAAUUUUUAAUAAUUAAUAAUUUAUUUAUUUUCUCUCUACUUAGUAAUAAUAUAUUUCCUUAAUUUGCCCAAUAACCUAAAUAGUCCUUUUAUUUAAUAAUUUAAAUUAGGUCGGAUUUUUUUUAUUGAGUUGGGUUUGAAAAAUUCGGUUCAACUCAACCUCACAUGAAUUAGUGAUAUUAUAUAUACUUAUGUUAAAUUUUAUACUAUGAUACUUCGAAUGUUUUUACAUUUUAGAAGUUUGUAUAAAUGUUGUACUUUAUAUAUGUUUUUGGAUGGGAGAAUUUAUGGAUAUGAUGUUAUAAUGAUAUGAAAAAUUAACAAAUAUUAAGACUGAAAAAACCUAUACAACUCGAUAACCUAAUCCAAUUCAUAUAUUUUCGGGUUGGGUUGGGAAUGUUUAUCCAAUUAUUUGGAUUACCAACUCAGUCAAUCUAAAAGUCUGAAUAGUUUCCAAAAUACCCUUCAAUCCAACGGGUUACACCACUAGUUCAUUCCCUUCACCUCAAUUAGUUUCUUUUAGUACAACUUAGCCUGAGGGAUGUGAACGACCUCUAUCGUUAGAUACAUACAUGUGUCAAUUUGGCUUCAAAACAACCUUGAAGAGUUAUGAAAUUAUUUUUCUUUUUUUAAAAGUAUGUAUGGGUUAUAAUUCUUUUAAAGAAAUUCAAGUAAAAAAAUAUUUUUUUUUCUAACCUUUCAAAAUAUUACCUAUUAAUUUUUAAAUUUUGAAUUUAAUUUCAAUUUAGUAGUAACUUUCAAAACGUUUUCUCAAGAUUUAGUUUUAUUUCAAUUUUGUCUUUAGGUAAUUAAUUAAAUUUCAUUGUUUUUUUAACAAUAGUAAAAUUAAGGUUUAAAUUCUGUUUUGGUCCCUAAAUUUUGUAUCUUAUUCUAUUUUGGUUUUUAAACUUUUAAAAAGUGUAUGUUUUAGUCUUCGAACUUUUAAAAAUGACAUAUAUUUUGGUCUUUGCCCUUAAGAUUCGGUCAACUCUCUAAUGGAAUGGUGAUAUGACUUCUAUAUUUGGAUGACAAAUAAGAUAAUCACUUUUAAUAAUUUAAGUUUUAAUUUCUAGUUAAAGAUUGGUUGAUUCAUUGUCUUCUAGAUUUUGAUAAGGGUAGGGAGUCACUAGCAGAUGUGAGAGAUUUAAGUUUUGGAGAAAAUAAACAAAAUUAUUUUUUAAUUUGAGUUUGUUUAAUUCAAGUGUGUUAAUUAUAUUUCUACGUUGGCAUAAAAACUCAGAAUAAAUUGUCAACAUUUUUGGGUUAUUUACCAAUUUAAUUAAUAUAAUGAAUCUAAAUUUUAAUCAUCAAAUUAUAGAAAGUUACGUUCUCAUUAUGGUAAAGAGUUAAUGGAAUUCUAACGGUAGUGACCAAAUUUUUUUUUUAAAAAAAAGUUCGACAACUAAAACAGACACUUUUUAAAGUUCAAAGACCAAAAUAGGACAAUAUGCAAAAUUUAGGGACUAAAAUAGGAUUUUAACCUAGAAUUAAUUUUAGGACUGAAAAUAUAAAAGUAGAACAUCUAGUGAAAAUCGAGGUUAACCGUGAAACUCAAUGACCAAAAUUGAAUCAAAACUCACAACUUAAAACAUAAAAUGUAAUAUAUUGAAAUCGAAGGUACCAAAUAGAUACUAAACCCAAAACCAAAAAAUUGAAAAGGUAGAAUCUGUUUGGUAACGUUUUCGUUCUCUGUUUCAUGUUUCUUCUUUUUUUUUAGAACAAUAAACAUAAAUGUGUUUGACAACUGAUUUUUUGUUUCUUGAAGAAAAAAAAACCAUAAAUAAAAAAUGUGUUUGAUAACUAUUUCUUGUUUUCUAAUUUUCUUCAAAUUUUUUUUUUUAUUUUAUUCACAUCUAAUUCAAUUAAACAUUACAUCACUCACUUUAUCAAACCUAGAUAGAAAAGAUUUCUAGUAAUCUUAUGAAGAUCAAGAUGAUUUAUUGAGAUCGGAAGGACAGAACCGCGCGAGGAGGAAGAUGAAAACCCAUGAUGAAGAGGACGAAUGAAAUGCACGGCGAAGAGGAAGACAAAAAUCCAUGGCGAAAACACACAUUUGACAAAAAACCCAAAAAUUCAGCGAAAACUCAGAUCUUCACGAAGAGGAAGAGGAAAACUCAUAUCCAACGAAAAGGAAUACAGGAAGACGAUGAGAGACAAGGAAGAAGAUGGCGAAGACGAUGAGAGGAAGAGAAAAAUGAUGGCUAUUUGGAGAACACGAUGGUUAUUUGGGGAGGAUGAUGGAGAUAGGAAGAAGAAAAAGGAAACCACGUGGAGAGUAGUUAUUUGGGGAAGAAGAUGAAAAUAAGAGGGAAAAAAAUAGAAUCAUGUACAAAAAUGGAAAAAGAAAAGGAAAUAGAAAAAUAAUUGAGAUAAAAAAAAGAAACUAAUAAAAAUAAUUGAAAGACGAAGGAGGAAACUAUUUUUUUCCAAUAAUUCUUUAUAAAAUAGAAAACAUUUUUACUUUUUUUUAAAAACGAAAAACAUGAAACAUUGCCAAACACUUGUGUUUCUUUUAAAAAUGAAAACAGAAACAUAAAACAAGAAACGAAAAUGUUACCCAACAAACCUGUAAUUUUUCGUCUCCCUAAAUUAAAAUAAUGUUACGAAGAUAAAAAUAUUAAUGUCAACAUCGCCAUCGUGAUUUUGAUUUUACGAUAGAAGUUUAGGUUAUUGAUAUCAUCUAAUAUUUUGGUAAAUAAAGAAAUUAAUUUUAGAAAAAUAUUAAAACUGAUAAACAAGUUAGUUUUUACUUCCAAAAAUAAGUUAUAGAUCUUAUCAUUAGUAUUAAGAUUCACAUUUGAGAUUUUCUUUUUCAUUACAAUAUUGGUAGGAUAUUCAUUAAGCUAUGCUUACUAAAGUAUUCAUAUUAUGUUGAGAUUUAUUAUGUUCGAUGUGAUGUAAAAGAUAGUUAAAUCCUCCCCUUUAUGGAUAUAUAACAUACUAACAAAUAUUUCAAUCCCAAUUUGAUGUUUAUACUACAAAAUGAUUGUGGUACCCAGAUUAUCUCAGUACUUCAAAUUUUUAGAGAUUAGUUGCUAAAACAAACUCAAUUGAGCUGCGCCAUACACAUUAAAUAGUAUAAUUGACCUAAACUUUAGUAAGAAAAAUCUACUUUUAAGAAUAUUUUUUGUAAUAUGGAUGUGACUAUAUAAUAAUCUCUAAACACUAUAAUUGACCUUAAGCAUAGGCCACUCCAGUUUAUAACUAUGAAUCAAAUAUUUCUGCUAUAGCAUAUUGUUAUAUUUCAAACAACAACUUGCAGCCCAAAUCUUAUGCCUAUUUCUUUUCUUGGACACAAAUUUUCCUAAUAAUUUCAAAUAAGGGUUUGGUCAAGAAUACUAUACUAGGAUGAAUAAAAAACAUAAAUUUCAGGCUUGGAUAACUUCUUAAGAAACCUGUAAUGGGGUCAUAUAAGCAUUUUAUCAGAUCAUUGAGGCUUUGAUUUUAUUCUGCCAACGGGACCCUUGGUGAGAAGGAAUCGAGCACUUUGUACGAGUUCUUCCUUAACCAUGAACAAGACAGCAGCAGCCAGAACACUCUGGACGAUUUUCGUGCCCAUCCCUUUGUAAAAUCCAUACAGUCCUUCGUAUCGGAUCAUUUUGAGAAUGGCGUCCAAUGUGCCUGGAUAAAAAGUGAAAGAUCAAUUAGCAGAACCAGAACAUUGGUAACUUCAACCAGAGAACGAUGCAGAUGGAUACAAGUAACAUAAGAAAUUGGGUCGAACAGCGUUAGCAUCUGCAGAGUGGUUAAAACGGCUAACUGGGCCAACAGACUGACCAUUGAAGGUCAACUAACCCAACGGGUGAUUUGCCCAUUUUACUUUCUAAGACUCCUCCAAAUAGCUUUUGGCUUUUAGAUUUUUUAAAUUGUGUUUGAUUUCUCACGGUGGAUUUCAUCUUAUUUUGUUAAACUCUCAAAUUCCAAAAACAAAAGCAAGUUUCUAAAAGUAACAUGUCUGUUUCGAAAAUUAAGUUUAUGGCACCCUUAUUGGUCUCAUAAAGUUUAUGGCCACUUUCCCUUAUUGAUCUCAUUGUUUUGUUGUCUACUAAGGAUUGUCUUUAAAAUCCAAGUCAUGUUACAUAAAGUGAUUUUUAAAAACUGUUUUUGUUUCGUGAAUUUGGCUAAGAUUUCAAAUAUUUACAUAGGAAUUAGGAGAAUUAAAAACAUGAAGAAGAAAUAAUGAGAAAACAAUAAAGAUUUUUAAACAGCAAAAACUAAAUAGUUGUCAAACAAUGUCUAAUUUUAUAAAAAAACUUGCCUUGGAUUUUUGAAAUAUCAGAUAACAGAACAAAUAGUUAUCACAGGCACAAUGGCCAUAGCUACACUGCAUAUAUCAUGUUUUGCAGCUUUUGGCCAUCUAUUGGAAUGGAACACUCGUAAUUAAGCGAAUUUCAGCUAAGCUAAAGGCAAACCAGACAACCCUUUAAAAGAACAAGCCGCAGUCAAAACUUGUGAAACACAGCUAUUUUUACCCUCCCACAAAUUUUUAAUGGUGGAUGAUAGCAUGUCCAUAAUAACAAGGGAUUUAUACUAUGAAUCCAAACCUUUAUACUGAUGUCUUUUGUCUCCCGCUACGACUUGUUUUGCUUGAAGCCUAGCCUGCAAAGAAAUACCUUGGAUGAGAUAAUUUACUCUAAUGCAUGCUAGACAAGUAAAACCUGAACGUCAGCAUAUAUCAACAGUUCACAAAAAAUAUGGAAAAGUAAAGUAUUAACCGAGACACAACAUUUGUAAGAAUGAAGCAAACAUAUGUAAACUAAACUUUUUUGGGAAAGUAAAGAAAUCCUAUUUCUUCACAACCUUUUGUUUCUGAGACUAUAGAAUUUACCUUUACAACUAAAAGAGGAUAGGUUACUACAGUCGCUCCAAGUUUUGCCAACGCACCAAGAAAAAAUAUCUGCAUAGCCAAAUACGUAGCUUAACAUUGUGAUGGAACACCCGAAAAACAAUUACGUGUGGACAAACAAAUCUGGCCAUGGUUGCAAUGUGGCAAUGUUGAGAAUUUUAGUGAUCAGGGAAAAGGUUACCUCCAAUGCAGUAACUCCACUCCCAUCCUUCCGUAAAGCACGUCGUUUUUUCAAUUUGUUCAACAAAGUUUCAUACAGCAUGUACUGUAUAGAAGGGUUGCUGACCUGUCAUUAAGAGAGGAAUAUUUAGCAGCGUUUCCUUGUGUAUCAACGAAAAGUUUCUUUCCCCCACGUACCAUGAUCAUUGUUGGGAUUACUCCUUUCCAGAAACCCUUGAUUCCCGCUUCAUCGUAAAGUUCUUGAAUCUGAAGAUUGAGUAAAUAUCCAGAGUGAAGUAUGCUUAUUAUGUUUUCAUGGAAGAAAAGACAUGCUUUAACUAAUAAGAUAGAGAUUAAAGAUAUAAAAUGUGAAAAAUAGGAUCACUUGCUGACUAAAGUUCUUAACAUCCAUAUAUUUAUGAGACAUUCUUUAACAAUUCAGACCGAACAAAGAAAAAAAGGGUACUGCUUCUAGGUUUGGCCCUUUAGAGUUAUCUAUCAGUUUUCAAUCUCAAGCAAUAGGUUUACAACAUAAGGGCAACCGCUGGCAGUCAUUAUUUUCAGAUACUCUGAGAGAACUAUUCAGUAAACAAUCCCUAGAUGUAAAUAAUCUACUAUCCAAGGAAGUUCAAAUGAAUGUUAAACAUGGAUCUAAUCAAAUUGCCCUGUACAACGAAGGUGGGGAAAGGGACUUCUUUUAUAAAUUUGAAAUCCUCCCCGCACGCCCCAUUUUGGUCAAAUGGAUAAGAAUUCACCCUAGAAAAGAACCGGUGAUGUGUCCUUUUAAAUUGAAGUUAUCAUAAAAUCUAAUUACGAUUAGAAGGCUGGUUAACCAAGAUGAAUUAUAGGGGCAAACUAUGGGUCAAAAUCCAAUUCGGGCAGACAAAACCAUAGAAAAGAUAAACUAAUUACCAAGAAAUUGCCUAAGAGAUCAUGGUAGCAGAAAAAAAUGUCUGCUUUUUUUCAUGCAACAAAGAGUUCAUAGCUACCGUGGAAACUGGUACAUAAAUAUUUGUUACUUACAGCAUGAGUGGUUCCGUAGGAAGGAGGAUCAACGACUGCUGUUGGCGGAAUUGUUUCAUCUAGUGGAGUCAACGCUCCACCAGGUAGAGACGGCUUUGAGAUUUUUUUAUGAGUCUGAAGAAUGGUAACACAAAUCUUGUCAUUUCAAAAUUUUGAAAUUCCAUGAAAUCCUCAACAACAAGAAACUACUUAUUCAAGUUUAGUUCAAAACUCUUGAGGAAAGUCAACAUCAAUAAGUGCAAUUAAAUAAAGUAAAUGGAGCCAAAAUCUAUGGUUUGGUUAUUGUACUUCAGAAAUUCGAAUAUACACAGGUAAAAGGAAAGACUUUAAGUCCUAUAAAGAAAGAAAGGCUUUAGACUUUCAGGACCAAAAAGUUUAGCCCCCCAAGAGAGACAAAAAUCUUCUUCUUUCUUUAAGCCAAAUUUCGUUAAGAUGAAUCAUAGAAUCCAAUCGGCUAAGAGAUCAAACAAGCCAAUCCAAAAGCAGGGUUGACAAGACAGCAACAACAACAAGAACAAGAAGCAAAAGAAAAACCAACGUUAGGCAAUAAAAACAAUAAAGGCAAGGCAAUCAUCGUGAAUCGUGUGUGUAAACCUGGAAUUCAAGUCACUGACUUAAAUCCAAAAGGGCCUAGAUGCUAUGCUCAACCCUUAAGGGCGACAUCCUAAAAUGAUUUCCUUGUACACUGGUUUAAUUGAAUUCAAUUAAUUUUUUUUUUUUUAUGAAGCAUAAAUAAAACAACAGAAGUUUCAUAAUAUAUUAUUACCUGCAUCCGAGUAACCACCACCCAUAUAGGAUUUGUCAACAGUACAUUAACACACCUAGAGGAUGAAGAUAUUUUUAGACAAAUGGAAAUAACAAAGAACUGAAUAAUGCAGAUGGUUUGGUAGUAGAUCUAAAUUGCGUUUGAAAAAGUUUGAACUGUUUGAAGAAGAUAUGUAAAUAUAGUGGAAAUAAUGCAUUGGAGGCUAGACCUGAAAGCAUAGGAUGCAACCCCAAAUGUCCACGUUUGAUCCUCUUAAAGAAAAAAUCAUAGGCUUAGGACCUUUCCUUCACCUUCUUGUACAUCCUUUAUCCCUUAUCUUUUGUUUGAAUUGAUUGUGUUUCUUAUGAUAUGUAAAUAAUAAGAAAAUUAAAAAACAAUUUAGACACAAACCCAGAUAUAGCAGCCACCAGAAGCGAGGAAAGCAUCCCAACAGAUCCAUCUCCAAUCCCUGCCUUCAUUCGUUCAAGAGAAGCAACUUCAGCCUUGUUCCUGAAUAUUUGGUAGAAAUAGUAGUAAACACCCUGUACCAAGAACAAGAGUUUGUUCAAAUAUAAGAUACCAUGAAUGUGAAGCAUAGAGAAAAGUUGAGUAGAAAAUAUUGAAUCUUCAUGUAUAUCAUAUUCAUAAAAAAUACCACAAAAGUUUUUUGUCAAUAUCCCAACAAGAAGUUCAAAGUUUAUUAUUUUAUUUUGGAGAAAAUGUUGUUGUAGAGAGCAGGGAGUUCACCAUGACGGGCAUGCUUAUUAUUCAUUUACUAGCUACUGGCAUUAAUACAAUAAAAGUAUUUAGUUGGAUUUGAUAACAAUAUUAGCCUUUUGUUUUCAACCAUAACGUCUGAACAUAACUAGAGAACUCAAGCAAACCCCAUUGCAUCAAUAGUUGAUGCUGCCCAAGCUAACUAAGGAUGUUGUAAUAACAUGAUAGGAUCAUAGUGAAAAGGCUUGGCAAUAAAAAUGGAAGAUUUCCCACUUUGAUUGAACUGUUUUAUGUAUGAAUUGGAUGUCAAAAGAAAACUAAGUAACAAGUCUGAACUCUAAUACCCUCCUAUAACUGUCCAACUAAGAGUGCAUUCCAGUAACACAGGGGAGACCACAGACAAGCCGUUGUUGUCCAUCAUCAAUCAAACUUCAAGUAUUCUGCUGAUCCCCUUUACACAAAACAGACAGGUGAAGCCAGAAAUUCUGUAGUAUAUGCAAGAUGUUACGUUCUAACUUUGUGUCUAUACAAUCUUCCAAUUCCAAAGAUCUAGGAGGACAAAUUAUAGAGGAAAAUAUAUAAUUUACAAUGAACCAAGAAGUUCCCGUUCCUUCCUUCUUCAAUCCACCCAACAAAAAGCCAAAUGCAUUUUAAGUUUCUAACAAAUAUCAGAUACCAAAAAGUCCCCUUCUCGCAAUAACACUGUGGCUAAGACAAAUUUAACAUUGAAAUUUAGAAGUGUGCGAUAAUAUAGUAUCAAUUAGACCGACUUCAAAUGAGUCUCACCUGAGAUGCAGCCGUACCCACCAGAGACGGCCCCAAGCCACCGUAGAGCCGGUCCCAUCCUUCAUGUUUCACAACCUAUUCACAAAAACAGUCAAAAAGGUCAUUGAAAUCGACAGUGGUCACUUUAAUUUCGGAAAUCAGACGCGCAUAGUUUUCGUAUAUCAAAAUUUGUAGGAAAAGAAGUUGUGAAGAACAAAAUUAAGAGUACCUGACACAUCUGUUGAAAUGUUCCAAGUUUUCUCCUCUCCUUCUUCACAUCGCGCUCUGUUUGCUGACGAGUAUUCACCUACAGAAGAAACGAAAGGCGUCUGGAAUUGCAGAAAGAGCAAAAUUGAGCACUAAAAACUGAGAAUUUCGUAAAAGAAUUUACAGUCUGAAGAGGGUAUGUGAUGAGUUGGGCAAUGAUCCCUCCUCCAGCUCCGGCCAAUCCAUUGAUCAACGCGUCCGACAUAGUUUCCCGGUGAAAACCGAAUUAGAGAAAGCAAAGAAGAAGGAAGAAAAAAGGGGUAUGUGGGAAGAUAGAAAGUGAUGCAAAAAAAGGGGUGUUAGUUCACCGGGAAAAUGCACCGGAAGCGGAGCAUUGACGUGAAAAGAAAGAGAUCUAACAGAAAUAGAAUCGGAGAAGAAAACCCAUGUACGACUUUGUCUCUGUUGUAACUUCUACCCAAAUGAUAUUGACAUUUUCGAUGGCGUUUGAUAUCUGGGAAAAUUCUGACUAAAAAGGCUUGAAGAUGGGAAAUUUCACUUCAUUUUCUAUCAAAUUAAUGAGAAAAAUAUUUAGAGUAAUAAUGGGAUUUUAUUCAAUAUCAAUUUACCUUAACUUUUAAUUGUCUCUACCUCAUUUUAUAAUUUCUUUUGUUACAUUUCCUUCAUAACUUAUGACAUAUAUAUAUGAUUAUAAUAAUAAGUAUAAUAUUGGGUGUUUUUAUUAUUAUUUGAUUAGAAAUAAGGAAAUGGAAGUAUGAUAUAUUGGAUGAAAUUCUUGAGAGGUGUGCCACUACUUGGCCCAAUUUCUAACUUCUUCCCCAAACGCAAAGAAUUCUCAUAUUUUCAUUCACACAAAACCCCUCCAAAUAGAUAAUACCUUCCUCUUGUAUCUAAUAAUAUUUUAAGUUAUUGAUUAAUUUAACCUUUUUAUUUGACAUAGAAUUCAACAAUAUAUCUAAUAAAAUUAAAAAUAUAUCCUUUUUAUUUAAAAUAGAUUGUCCAACAUGUUCAAUACCCAAUAUUUUAGAAACAAAGUUAAAUAAUAAAUUUGAAACUUUGAAGUGUUAUUAGUCCAAAUGCAUAAAUUAACCUACUUGAGUUAGAGUUGUUAGGUGAGUUAUGUUUUAUUACAAAUUGUUAAUACAGACAUAAGUUACAAAUAUUCAUAGUAUAAUAAGAUAAAGCAUUGUCCAAUCAUACUCAUCUUUUAUCCUAUCUAUAUAUACUAAACCUUAAUAAAGUAUAUGUGUUUAUAAAUUUGCUUUUUGUCUCCUUUCUAAUUCUUUUUAAUAUCAUUUAUUUCUUGUAUGUUUCUUCUCUACUUUUUUUUAAUUUUAAUAGCACUUUAAAGUAGGCUGCCUUUAGAUUGUACCGACUUAGUUCGAUGAUUCAAUUUUCUUUGGAUGAUUUUUUUUUCUUUUAUUUUUGUUUAUUCCAAGAUUUUGCUUAGAAAUUUUUAUUUUAAAGAGAGAAACUCUAAUUAGAGUUGAGGAACAUAUCAAAUUAUUGACCUUUUUAAUUUAGAACAGUUGAAUUAUGGUUAGGGUGUAAUAAAGUUCAUUUUUAAAAGGACCAAAAUGGCCAACAAACCUCUAAGGUUAAUACUUGCUAAAAAAAAAAAAAACAUAUGUCAUUGACCCAAAUUAACGCUUUAAAUUUGAGAUAUAGCCUAAAAGAGACGCUCAACAUCAACCCCAUAGCCAAAUAUUGAAAUCAAGCACCCCUUGGCCCAAAAGAUUAUCUCCUUAUCGUAAAGCAACUUAGAAAUCUUAAAAAACAACCUCUGUCAAAUUUCUAGAUAAAUGAACCACUAUGACUUCCUAUAAAGUAUCUAAAAACCUUUGGCUUCUUCACUAAUAUUUAGUUCUCUUAGUGAUUUGGGCGUUAGAGUAUUUUAUCUUUGUUUUGCAGAUUUUUUCUUCGUCAAAUUGCAAAUUUACUGUUGUUGUCAUGCAAAGGGACAUAAUCCAAUUUCUCAUAGUCAAAGCUUUGGGUCAACAAGUGUAUUUUAGAACUUUAAAGUCAUUUUUUAAAAUUUUGAGAGUUGGUAAAUAAUUUUUAAGCCUUCAAAACUAUUUUUUUUUUUUUAUCCUUAUGACUAAAUCAACACUUAACAAAUCUUUAAGAUUGUUGGUGAUAAAUGCACUAACUUUCUGUAGACCAAUUAAAUCAUAAAGUAAACCUGUUUGUGAGAUUAUUGUACCUUUUAAAAUAAGUAGGAGGCACUUAUUUAGUAAAUUUCAUGUAUAAUUUGAAAAUUAAGACUAUUCCAUCUCAAUUUCAAUAUCAAACUAUUAAAUAUAAACCUCAAUUUCAUACAAAGAUAAAAUAUAUGUACUAGAAAAGAGAAUAAAUAAAAAUAUCAAUAACAAAUUUUACUUCAAAUUACCAUAGAUUUCUAAAUCAAUAAAGGAGAUUGAUUAAUUAAAAUAACGUAGAGGAGAUUGCUUUGCAAAUAAAACGUAUUAAUAAAAAAAAUUGUUUAAGUGAAAAUAAAUUAAAAAUAAUAAGGAAAAAUAAUUGUACUAGGAGAUUAUUGUUAAAGAAAUAAUUUUACUAAAAAUUCGAUGUGAUCAACUCUUGUGAAUUGAGAGUGAGAAAGCGAAACAAGCCUGAGCAAGAGUAGUCAUUUGUUAGUGAUAAAAAGAAGAGAGAAAGCAAGAAGGUAAUUUCACAUAGUCAUUUGAUAUUCUUCUAUCUUAUACCACAUGAAUUUGUUUUCUAAACUAAACGCAUCGAAUUCGAAUUCAAUUAGUGUUGCAUUUUUGGAUAACACAAUCUCAUUUCAUAAAUAUUAGAUCAGAUUUAAUUUUGAUAAGUUAGCUUCUGAUUUGUUUUUAUUUGAGAAAAGUGUUUAAAAUGGUUCAUAAACUUAAUUGCCACCAACCAUAAGAUAAUUGUGUAAUGAUAGUUGCUUCCAUUUUCUUUUAUUUAUUUGAUUAAAUGAGUUAGCUUAAUAUGUGGUUUAAUUAAAGAUUCUUUUAUUUAUCCGUCUUUCACCACAUGGUGGAACAAGUGCAGCAUCCACAAUCCAUCCUCAACAAGUUUCAACAUUCUCGGAAGAUAUCUUCUACCCAUGUACUAGAAGCUCAAUUUGUAACUUUCAAAAGCUCCUCUUUUCAAGAUAGGAAAACCAAAUUUCAAAUGAAAAUGAGAAAAAUUAUUUGAACUUAAUUUUUUGUCACAAAUUAAAAACUAUAUCCCUGCUCUAGAUCUAAACAAGGAUGUUACUUGGAUGAUUGAAAAUUAAACGUGAUUUUGGAGGAUUGAAACGAAAGGAGAAUGAGGACUAUAUCUAGUGAUGAGUUUCAUAAUGUCUCAACGGUCAUAAAAGCAAUAGUGCAUGGAAACUGUAAUGCCUCAACAGUCAUGUCAAAGCGUAAUAUCUCUAUGCGUUCAAUUACAUCUCAACGCAUCACAAAAUCUCAAUCCUUAACAAUCUAAUUGCCUCCUUUAAUAUGCUCAAAGUUCAAAAGUCCCAAAGAAAAUUUUUUGAAAAUUAAUUUUAUUAAUUAAAGAUAAAUAUCUAAUAAAUUUUUUUUUUUUUUUUAUUUCUUACCUCACCUUACCACGCCACACCUCGCCUAUCCAACCGAACGGAAGGCAGCGACGUGCAUGUGGAGAUAUCAACAAAUCCGUAUUUGCCUUUCUCCUCACCCCCCUCUAAAACAUGUCUCAAAAAAUCAUAUAAUGAACUCUCUAAGUUCAACCAAACACACAAAGUUCAAUAUAUUCACCCCUCCAAACAUUUGAAUAAGUAAAUUGAAUUACCAAAAUAAACACAAACCACAAUGAAGGCUUAAAACAAGUUAGACAAAGCUCAACUUACCUCUCACAACAUUCAAAUGAGCAAAAAGUUCAAACAAACCAUACAAAGACAAGUGCGGGGUGAUACAUGAUCUAAAGCAAAGAAAAAAGAGUUUCAAAAUCCAUCUUCGGAUAUGCAAUAAUCGAGGCAUCGAGAAUUCUUCCUAUAACUUUCAACGCGACUUUAUUAUUCAUUGAAAGUUCACACCUAACUCUCGACACCUAUAUUGUAUUCGUCGGAAGUUAGGAACAAAAUCGAUUACUUUUAUUCCAACUUAAAGAAACUUCUUAUGGAGUUCAUCCCGACUAUUGUUAUAGACUUCAGAACAUUGGCUUUCUCCUGACGUAUUUUAUGAUGGUUGGUUUUGACAUUGAGAGAUUCUUUUUUCUUGUAGUGUAAAAUCGUUAAUUUUUCCUUUAAAAAAUAGCUUAAUAUGCUAAGGAUAUUUUUUUAAAAAAUAAGUUCAAAUGUGAUGUUCACCAACUAAACAGAUUUGACUGUUUUUUAACUGAAAAAGGAAAAGGGAAGACCACUAUGGAAUAUAUUAGAAAUAGACCACGUAUGAAAAGAUAUAUAUUAGGUAAUGUUGGUGAUAUAUAAUUAAAGUUGCCUUCAACCACGAGUUUAAGCUUUUGGAUGAAUUUGUGGUUUAAUAUGGUAUCAAAGCAAAUGGUUCAGGGAGGUCUUGUGUUCCCCAAUUAAAAUCAAUUUCCACUUGUUGAGUCUUUCAAGCUUAAACUUUUGGAUGAAUUUGUGGUUCAAAACUACAUGUAGUGAAAUAAUAUAAAUUAAAAAAGAAAAAGUGGUGAAUAUAACACAACAUAUAUAUAUAUAUAUAUAUAUAUAAACACCAAAAUCAUAUGCAAAAUGUAUAGUAAUUAAGUAGAUAAAGUGUUUGUGAAUUGGUAGUUUAGUAAAAUAACGUAGGUUUAUAAGAAUAUGGUGGAAAAAAGAAAAGUAUAUGUUGAAACAACCAAUUUAAAUCAAGAACAAUACACAUUUCUUAUUUCUUAAAUGUAAGAAGAUUAUGGUUUUUGAAUAUAUCAUAGAAUAAAUCUAGAGCUUGUAUGUAAUAUAAAAGUAACACAAGUAUCAAUAUUUGAAUUAAAUAUAAUGAAACAAUGCUAACUACAAAUAGAAACAAUCCAAAAUAAGAAUCAUUAAAUGAAAAACGAUAUAUAUAUAUAUAUAUAUUGUAAUUAAUUACUUCAAUUUUUCUUUUUUUAAUUUAAUAAGAGAGAAUGUGUAUAAGAUUAAACAAAUUUAUGUGAAAGUAGCUAUCUAAUAUAAUUCAAGUUUAGGACAGUAAAUUAAAGUCAAAUCUUAGAUAUUUAUUUUUCAAAGAAAUGUGAGCCUAAAUAGAUUGGGUAAAGGCCCAUUGGACAAAUUGGGCUUAGCCCAUGAAAACUUCAGGCCAUGAUUCCUUGGCUUACGUGGUCCUUGGAUUAGUUCAUGAAAACUGAUUUGGCUUGUUUUGAAAACACAAAGGAUGAAUAGAAGAACUUUCACUAUUUUAUGUGAAUUGCUAAAGUCUAUGGAUCAACUAAGGGGAUCCUAAUAAUAACUUUCAUUAUUAGCUAUUAUCAUAAUAACUUUCAUUCUUUUUCAUCAAAAUUGUUUUGGGCCCUAGAUGGAACAUAUAUUAAAGUGAAUGUUUCAAUUAUUGAUAAACCUAGCUAUACCACAAAAAAAAAAAAAAAAAAAAAAAAUCGCAACUAAUGUGUUUGUAUGUUUGGAUUAAAUAUAAUGUAUUUGAUCAUUUAUUUAUUUAUUUUAUUGUUUAAUUUUGUCCAUAUGUUUAUUUACGACAAAUUAUAUCAUAUAUUCAAUAUGAAAAAGAGAACAUUCCAAGGGAACUAUCGGAGAAAAAAGAGCAUGGAGCAAUAACAAGUAAAUGCUUGUUUAGUUCUUGAGUUGUUGGAACUAAAUAAAUCAAGUAAAUGACAUGUAGCAAUGGCACGUUCAAACUAGGUUACUUGCAACACCUUUGGAAAUGGAUAUGAAAGAAGAAAAUCCUAAUAGAAAAUUAUUGAAAAGACAAUAUCAUGCAAUAGAUGUGAUGUUAGGCCCAAAUUGUUCGAGAUUUGGAUGGAAUGACAUUUACAAAUGCAUAGAAGUUUAAAUUUUUUACGAUUGGGUUAAGGUAAUAAUCAAUUUAUUGUCACUAUUUAAUACUAUUCAAACAAUACUUAUUUUAUAUUCUUUGUUAUUUUCUUGUGUAACUAUUUUUAUGUGGUAGAGUCAUCCAACAACUAAAGGCCUUCGCAAUAAGUCUUUUUCACACUUUGAAGAUCUACCACAUGUAUUUGGAAAAGAUUAUGCUAAAUGCGGUUGAAGCUAUAACGGAGAAAAAGACUCAUUUUCGGAAUUUGGGUUAUAUCCUUCCGCCAAUGACAAUAUAUAAUAGCAAUUUUUGAAGGAGCAACAUCUCACAGUGAAAUACCUUUAGAUGCCUCUAGAAGAAAUGAGAAGAAAAGAAAAAGAGGUGAGAAAAUGAUUGAAACAAGAAGUGAAAUCGUGAGUGAAUUAAAAUCUAUAUAUUCUAAUGCAACUGCACUACACAUUGCCAAACUCGCACUUGUUUUCAACAUGAAGCAGAUGUAGCUAAAAGAAGACAAAUGUUGUUUGAUGAGAUAAUGUCAAUUAAUAUAUAGUUUAUUGACAUUGGAGCGUGUGCGGGCUUCAAGGAUUAUAGCAAAGGAUCAACAUUUGAUCAAAUUAUCUCUUUACUAUUCGAAACCCUACUUUUAAACAUGAGUUCAUACAUGAUGCGUUAAGAAGUGAAGCAAAUAGUUUGAGUUAUAUGGGAGGAAUAAUGUAGGAAAAUCCAUGGGUGUAGUUAUCUAAUAAGUUUAAUUUUGUAAGCUUUUUUUGUAGGGGAUCCUGAACAUUGUACAGUUCACCUAUUUUGUAUAGAUAGCCAUGGGUUUGGCUUACAGGACAAAUCCCAUUCAAGUGGUGUAUAGGUCGGUUAGUGCUUGAUGAUUCAUAUCUAUGUAAAAAUUACUUCAUUUUGUUUAUACCAAUGGAAAUGAAAUAUGAUAGUGAUGGAUUGACUUUUCUUGUACAAUGUUAAACUUUUUCAAUUCUAGUAAAGAGUAAAUGAAUUAAUGACAUUGGUGGAUUUUCCAUUUCAAAAAACAUUGUGCAUAAGCAGAUCUUAAUUAUUAGACUUUGAAAAACUUGGAUGAGGUUCUUACUUUUAUAAUGUAACUGAGGUUUACAUAUUGUUAUAUUUGUUUUCCCUCAAUCCAAAGAGAUAACAACAAUUUUUUUUAUCCAUAUAAUUGAAUAAAUUACAUUGCAAGAUUUAUAUAUAUUUGGAUUUAAAAUGUAAUUUUUAUCGUCAUUUAUAACAAAAACGAGAAAAAAUUGUGCAGAAAAUACAUAGUUAAACAUUUAUUUGUGAUUCAAAGGAGACAAACAGAAACAGAAGUUGUUUAUUCAAGGGGUUUUCCUUUUUUUGGGGGUUAGCAUGGGGAAUGGGCCAGAAGUUUCCUCUUCUUCAAGCUAAUAAAUGCACAAGAUCUCAAUUAAAAUGAAGAUAUCAAUGCAUGUGAAAAGAUUUAAUCAUUCAUUCUAUGAUGGUUUUCCCUAUUUCCUACUACUUUGGUUUGAUUUCUUUAUCCACAUUUCCAGCCUUUCAAGAUUUGGUACUUUAAACUCUAUUUUAAAAUUGAAUGUUUCUGUUUAGCAUUCAAAAAAUUGCAUAUUUUUUUAACGAGAGAAUGUAAUAUGUUGGAGUUUAGGGUAUUUAAAUUAUGACAUUAAUUCACAAAUUAUUGUUUAUUUAAUCAUAUAGACCAUGGGUUUGGUUAUUGCUCCUGUUUCCCUCCUCCAAUUUUUUUUUAAAAAAAAUUAAACACACAACAUACAAAGAUAAUUUGAUUUAUUUGAACCAUUUCAAACUCUUAUGUAUGAAUUAUUAAAUUACUUAAUGUCUAUAUUAUUUUAUUGCAUUAAAAAGGUUAAGAAUUUUGUUGGAUGAAUAACUAGCUAUUUGAAUGAGAAUAAUUCAUACUGAAAAAAAAAUAGUUUUGUUGAUUUUUAUAGGAAGAAAAGUUGCUUGUGGAAAAUCUAAAGCCAAAGGAAGAAUUUUGAUCCAAUCCUUAUAAAAUUAAAUGAGAAAAUUUGUGAGGAUGUGUGGAAUGAAAUAGAGGAUAAUAAUAGGACUAUUGAGAUUUUAUGUUUGGCAAAUUUUCUCCAAAAUAAGGAUGACUUUUCACUUUAGAAAAAGAAAGAAAAAGAUUAUCUACUAAACUAGAUGAUAUAUAAGAAAAUUUUAUAAUAUGCUUCUAAUCUCUAUAUUAUCUUGUUGCAUAGUGGGACAUUUUCUUAAUUGCACAACAAAUUUUUUUAAAACAAAAAUGUAGGGAUGAAUUAUUGAAGUGUAAUGAGGCUAAAUAAAUAAUACAAUAAGGUUGGUUAAGGAGUUAAUGUUGAUUAACAUAAAGUCUUGAGGGUUUGAUGUAAGCAAUAUUUAAUAAUUAUUCUCUAUGGUACCCUUCUAAUAUUCAAUCUUAUCACUUUUCGUUAUUUAUAUUUCUUCACAAUAUAUAUCAUUAUUCGUUUUUUUUUUUAUUAAAAAUAGAAAAGAAAAAAGGGAAAUGAAUAUACAAUAAUAUCCUAUAUGGCACCACUCUAUUGAUAGAGAUUAAAGGGUAGUGGGAUUGACAAUGAGGUGAGGCUCUAAAAUUGUCUUUUACGUAACGAAUACUUUUUAACAAAAUUACAAAUAUGCCCUCCACAAUACAAUUUAAUAAAGACAAGAAUAACGGGUAUAAAUGUAUAUUAACUUUCCCUAUAUUAUAUAUAUUCUUAAUUAGUUGGGUGAAAUGUCAAUUUUAGGGAAAUUUUUGUUUGAUGUUAAUAUUCCACUUUAAUUUUUUUUUUUGUUGAAAUUAGAAUGGAAUUAAUGCAUUGCAUCUUUUAAUGUUUUUGGCUUAUUUUUGUCAACAAACAUUUUUAUGUUUUACACCGUAUUUGAAUCAAAUAUUAGAAGUGAAAUUAUCUCACGUUCGAGAAAAAAAUUAAAAAGUAGUGGAUUUCAAGCACCUUUUAGAAACACUUUAAAUUCAGGUAAAAGAUAUGUCAACCCUAGUUAAAUUUUAUAUAGGAUAUGCAGUAUUUGAGACAGAAUUCUUUUGCAUAAUUAGAUUUCUUUUUGGUAGGUUGUGAUUUUUUAAGUUCUUAAUUUUAUUGUUUUUUUUUAAAUUUAUUUUCUUCUAGGUUUAAUUAUGUGGCUAAAUUUUAAGCAGAUUAAUAUUUAAAUUAUGUGGCUAAAGUUAGAUUUGGGAAUUUAUUUUGGGUUGAAACUUAUUGCUUUGUGGUUGAAUUUUGUAUGAUUUGUUUAAUUUUAUUUUUAUAGAGGUAUGUCAAUAUCAUGAGAGACUUGAGGUUAAAAUCGUCUAGCAAAAUUAACAUUGUAAUAAUUAUGGACAUAUAUUUAAAGCAUAAUAAAUUAGUGGUUUAAUAAAACAAGUAUCAACUUUAAUUUUUGUUUUUAUGAGAAUAACACUAACAAUAAAGUCAACUUUUAUCUCUCACAUUACAAAUAUCAUUUGAAGAAGCUUAACAUAACUAAUUAAUUGCAAAAUAAUGGAUUAAGAGACAUGUAUGGAUGUUCAACUCUAAGCAGUAAAUUUUGUUAGUCAAGUUUUGUAAAAAUCUAAUUUCUAAGUAAAAAAUAGCACUAAACUGCAAUGAAAUUUUUUAACCUUAAAACAAGCAUAGUUCAACUAAGUAACAUGUGAAAGAUAAUUGGAUCUCUCGCUCUGUAUAUAAAAGAUAGUAAUUAUAGUCAUAUAUUAUUUAUGAUUUACGAUUUAGAAAGAUUACAAUAUUAUGUAAACUGUAUAAGAAAAACUAAGUUGGAAAGUAUAUUAAAAUUAUUUGGAGUUAUAAUUUUAAACUAAAUUGUAUAAAUGUUGAAUACAAACAAAAUUGGAAUACAUUUAGAACUACACAAACUACAUCAAAAUAAAUUAGUAUUAAAAAACGUAAGACAUCAUUUGAUAAUUAAGAAUUUUGUUUUUAUUCUGUGAAACUUUGUCCACAAAAGAGAAUUAUUUAGGUUUACAACAAGCUAUUGCUAUUAUGAAUAUAUAAAUUAAAGUUUUGUUAUAUGUAUAAAAAAAAUUGAACAGUUUUAAAUUUGAAAAAACUGUGAUGAGAAUAUAAGUGUUUCUUCAACCAACCACAUAGUGAGAUUAAAUAAUAAAGUUGAAUUCUUAAAAUCCAAUGGUAUCUUAAUUCAUCAUCACUUCCAGUGUUCCACAACAAUUUCUUGAAACAUAAAAGUACCAAUUUGCAAACACAACAUUCACCACCAUGGAUUGAAUGCAAAUUAUAGAAAAAUGUUUGAUGGAAACAGAAACAGAAUUAAAUAGAAAAACGAAGAAAGGGAGACCCAAAGUAUGAGUUUUUGUUUUCAAAACCCUACAAAAGAAAAGAAAACACAACAAUGCAACGACAAUGAAGAAUUGACAAGUCGCAUAAAGCAGGUAAAAAGGAGAGUGGGUAUCAUUAUUUCAAUUCUUUUUUCGUUUGUUUUUUUCUGGGAAAUUAACCAUACAAAGCUUCAUAGCCACACAUAUAAUUACAGAUAACACUGCACUCCCUUACAACUUGGGUCCCAAAGUUGGAAUUUUAAAUACCAUAAAACUAAAAAAAAUUACAACACAAAAGGGGAAAACAGCCUUCUUUUUGGGAUCCGACGGCUGUGAUGGAUUGAAGAAGCAUCAUGGAUUUAGAUAAGAUUUUCACUUGGACUUGAAAGGGAUGGCUCUGAUUACAACUUGGUGGUACAGAGCUGCAAGAGCAGCGCCGAUGAAAGGUCCCACCCAGAAUAUCCACUGUAAUUUAACCAUAAUCAUGUGUUAACAUUUAACAUUUUAACAAUUAAGAUUAUUAAAAGAUUAUGAGAUUAACAAACUCACGUGAUCAUCCCAUGCUUCGUCGUGGUUGUAAAUAAUGGCCGCUCCCAAGCUCCUCGCUGGGUUGAUGCCGGUGCCCGUGAUCGGAAUGGUGGCUAAGUGAACUAAGAACACUGCAAAUCCGAUGGGUAAUGGUGCCAAUAUCUGUUCCAUAAAUUAACAAUUUUUCUUUUAGACUAACUUCUAGAAUUUCUUUACGCUUUUCACCUAAAAGUAACUUUCAAAAAGACAGACUCCCUGUUUUUUCAACUCACCGGAACAUGUGAAUCUCUGGCGCUACGUUUAGCAUCAGUGGCGGAGAAGACGGUGUAAACAAGGAUGAAAGUACCCACGAUCUCAGCGCCAAGGCCAUCCCCUUUGGUGUAUCCCUUGGCCACCAUGUUAGCUCCGCCGCCAAGGGCGUCGUAGGGCUUGGGUUGGAACCCUUUCACCACGCCGGCACCGCAGAUGGCACCAAGGCACUGCAUCACUAUGUAGAAAACGGCCCUAGUCAAGGACAGCUUCCUCGCCAGAAACAGCCCGAAAGUCACCGCCGGGUUAAUGUGGCCACCGGAAAUUCCAGCAGUACAGUAAACCAAAGCAAAAAUCAUACCGCCGAAAGCCCAAGCAAUCCCCUGAAUUCCGACGGUCUUACACGUGUUCCCCUCAAUACUCUUGGACCGGACGACACCCAUGACGGUCAAAACGGUGAUGUAGAGGAAGAGGAAAGUAGCGAAAAACUCGGCAAUUCCAGCUCUGUAAAAGGACCACGAAGUGAGCUCCUCCGGCUCAAACAAAGGCGCCGGUGGUGGCUCCUUGUAGUCCUUAGCGUCAUCUUGACUCUGUGCCGCCGUUCCAAUGGGCUGUCUCUCGUUGAACUUGUUAGCUCCAAGUCUAACAUCUUCCUCCUUCCCUUCCAUUCCGGAAAAACGUGUGUGUUUGUGAGAGCAGUUGAGAGCGGAAGAGGGCGGUUGUGUAUGUAGUAGAGUAGUAGUGAGGAAAGUGAAGAGAAGGAGUAGGUUAUAUAGCAAUGUAGAGUGAAUUUAGUGAAAAACCAAAGGGACCCAGGCAGUUAAAAAGAAAGAAAAAUAAAAAUAGAGAAAACCGACCAAUGAUUUUUGUAGAAUUUUCUGGAGAAUAGGUGGAAAAUGACAGAAGGGGCGGUCGGGUUGGCGUACAAUUAUUGGGGCACGUGGCGAAAGAUUAGCCACAAAGGAGAGGUAGAGAGUGGAGAAUGGGAGUCAGGCGCCCACCGUCCAUGUGGACCAGAUGGUGAAGUGAUUGUGAUAAGUUCAGGAUUUGUAUUUUAAUUUUUAAGGGGUAAUAGAGGAAAUGGAGGGGUUGGACAUCCACGUGGAGGUUACGUGAUUGGUUUGCCUGGAUAUGUUUGUGGACAAAACAAUGUCGCAGCGCUGUACAAAUAUCAUCUUUACUUCCUCCUUCCAUUAUCAAUAUAUAUAACUAUCUAUUUUUCCACCUUUUUCUUUCUUUCUACUCUUUAAUUCCUAUUUUCAUCUUUAUUUCACUCUUUACUUUUAUUUACAAAUAUUUCCAAAUUAUAACAUUAUUCCAUUUUACUACAAAUUUCUCUAUUUCAUCUUUCUUUUAAACAUAGCAUCCUUCCACCUAAUCAAAUGAAAUAUGUGCACUUUAACUUUUCUUUUUUUUUUCUUCCUCUUUAAAUUCAUCUCCAUCUCUACUACAUUCAUCCCUCUUAUCUAUCUAUAUAUUCAUAAACAACAAGUUAAGUUAUUAUUUGAGUUUGGCUUUUCAAGUUUUUCCUUCAAAAUUAUCCCACCAACUUUCAAAUAUAACCUCAUGUACACAAAAUUGUAUAUGGCAAGAUGGAAUAAUAAAAAUGACCACGUUUUCUUAUAAGAUAUCCAUAUAUCUUAUCAAUCACUCUAUUACAAAAAAAAAAAGUCCAAUAGAGAGUUGAGAGAAAUUAGAUAUAUGAUGAGAACAUAAUUAAGCACUACAAAUAAAGGUAUAGUAAACUCUUACAUCAUGACAUAAACUUAACCUAAAAUACUAGAUUUAAUAUAUAUUAGAUACUCUAACAUGAGGAUAUUAAUAAAUCCAUCAACUCCUUUACUUCACACUAUGGAUAAAGUUUAAUUCCUGUCAUUUUAAAUGUAUUCUUAAAUAUGAAGAUGACUUUGCACAAACUUACACAAAAUUAAAAGCAACGAAAAUGACUCAUACAUAGGUUAGUUUCUGUACCAUCUUAAUUUCUCUGAGGAAAAAGAAAAAAAUUUAAUUAUUUUUCUCAAUCUGUUUUUUUUUUUUUAAAAAAAAAAGAAAUUGAAGAUGAAAAAUUGCUUCCUUUGUAAUAAUAUAUAUUUUGUUUUAUAAUUCUCUAGCUUUUAUGUACUAACACUAUUUUUCGAAAUAUUUUUUCAUCCACUUGUUUUUUUCUUGCCAAUUGUUUAAAUUUAUAUCAUUGUUAUUGUUUAUAAAAAUAGUGUUUGUGAAAAGGGAGUUUUAGAAGUCACAUCCAAAUAAUACAUGCCUCUACUACAGCAUAACUCAUAUUUCAUAAGACAAUAUUAUUUUAUAAUAAUUAAUUAUGACCUUUUUUAUUUUUGGGUAAUGAAUACAGCAGAGCACAGAUAUUUUAAACAUACAAUUAUGUACAAAUAUGAAUACCAAAUUCUAUUGACUUUUAUAAUCUCUAUUGGGAGGUUACUUAAUAAUGUUAGUUAUUAAUAAAUUUAGGAUUUAUGAUCAUAAUCGUAAAUCCUAAAUCUAAGUCUAGUCUAAGUUCAAUCAAGUUAUCUUUGGGUUUUAAAUUGGCCUACCUACCCUAGUUUUCAAUUACCAAAAAAGGAAUAAUAAUUGUGUCAAAUUCACUAACAAAAUCUUGCAAUAUCAAGGGCUACAUUUACUUUGAUGUAUAGCACAUACUUUGACGACGAUAGUCUCUAUAAAUAUAGUUUCAUUUAUCCAUCACGUUGUUGUCUAGUAAUAAUAUUCUAAGUGCACUUUACUAUAAGAAUUUUCUCUUUUACCCACGAAAAUAAACGUUGGCUAAAGUCGUAAUAAUGUCAAAAUAAGUUAUGCCAACAAAAAUUCUUAUGUCCGUAAAAUCGUCAUUGUAUCCAUGUUGGGAGAAGUAAUUAUUGACCAUAAAUUCCUUUUUACAACGCACUAUCUUGCAUAUGUCGGCAUAUAAGUUUUUCAAACAAAAUAUAUAUUUUUUCCUUUAGAAUAACUGUACUUCCAAUCGAGGUAUCAAUGUUUUUUCGUCUGCAUAAGUUGUUUGCAAUUUUAUAUAUAAAUUGUACUAUACUAACUAAUCAAAUUUUUAAUAAUACCUAAUGAUGCACAAAGAAUAAUUAAUCAACCAUCAAAACAAUUGAAGAACAAAUAUAACAAAAAUAAGCUAUUGUAUGUUAAAAAUAAAAUUAAUAUUUAAUAUUUGUUAAGUCACACAGUUACGUUAUUCGAGGAUGGCUAAGUUUUCACAAAUAUUCUAUACCAAAAAAAAAAAGUUUAUCAUUAUUCCUUAAGCCAAAAUAAGUGAGAGGCUACACCAAACUAAAUGAUCAUAUCAAAACCUUUUUACAAUCUCAUUUCUAACCUUUCACAAAUCCGAUCCUAGGCAAGAAAAGAAAAAUAAAAAAAAUUGUCAUUUCUCGAACCAAAAUGUUACACCACCAAAAUAAGUAAUCAACUCAAAAUCUUGAUGCAAUCUCCAAAAAAACGAUAUUCAAGAAUUCAAAUGUAUAAUUUAAAAUAGGAAAUACAAUAAGAAAUGACAAAGUGACAAAGUGACAACAAGUGGCAAAGUGACGAACACACAAUUUAAAACUACAAAGUAAUUAGCAAAAAAAUUAUAUAAAGUGACAAAGUAAAAUCCCCCUCUUAAAUCCCAAUUUAAUUGUUUCAUGAGUAAACCACAUCUUCAAUGAUCCUAAAAGCAUAAAACACAACUAUCAAACCCCUAUAAAUACACGAGAACGAAAUUCUCAAAGUAUGGAAGUGAAAUUUCAAAAACCCUCAACAAAACCUAACAAGUUCUCUCUCUCUCUCUUUUUUUUAAUAGUAUUAUGUUUUUGAAUUGUUGAAAGAGAAUUACUUGAAUUGUGGUUAAUUUAGAAACGAUGGUUAGGCCGAUCAUAAUUAACUUUUGUUAUCAACCACACAUGACCUUUAAUAUUUUAAUUAAUGUUAAAAAGAGUAUUUAUUAUGAUGUAAAUUAGUGAGGUAAACGACAAAUAUAUUGGUUGGGUUGGGUUGCAGCCGCCAGCUGAUUUGUGCCCAUCUAAUAUCUAUUAUUCGAUUUUACUUAAUAUAUAACUCUCACAGCUUUCUCUCUCUUUAUAUAUAUGUAUAUGAACAGCACAUUUUGUUUGUUAUUAGGUUAACAUUAGGGUUUUGAAGUUCUUACAUAUAACAUUAAUUUCUUUGCACCCCAGUAGUCAAUAUGUUUUUGGAACUUCAAAAACUGUGAAAUAAACUUUUUUUUUCAUAUAAAUUGAAAGAUAUUAAUCAAACAUUAGUUUAUGAUCAUAUAUAUACCACUUUGUGUACAGCUUGUUUUGAUUGGGCAAAUAUUACAAAUUCGUAUUUUGGUCAAUACAAAGAGGAAAGAAAAGAGUAAUGAAUGCAAUCAUAUUUGAGCCAAAAAUGAUUCAUUCAUUCAUUAUCUAACAAACAAACUCACAUCGAUUCAUGUGUUGGAGGUUUUGAAAUAAACAUUAAAUAUACAAUUGGUCCCCCAUAGGCCAUACCAAAACAAAAAUCAACAAAUAUCAUACAUAAUACAAAGUAUAUAGUCAUUCUCAAUUUAAAUCUUUUAAUCUUCCAUUUCAAUUCUAACUAUGAAACAAACCCUCUUUCUACUUGGUAAAAUAUAGAAAAGAAAGAGAGGUAGAGGUAAAGUACAAUAAUCUCGAUACACUUAAAAAAAAUUUGCUUGUAUUGAUUUUUGAAUUGUUUAAUUUUUAAAACAAUUCAUUUUAAGAUAAACUAACUUUUAGAAAAUUGAGAUUCCGAAAUAAAUCAUUUUAAAGAAUACACGUGUAACCAAAUUUUAGAAUAAAUGUUUAUUUGAUAUUGAACCAGAAUUUUUCCAAAAUAUAUUUUUUUUUCCUCUAUUUUUUUACUUGGUCGUUUUUUUUUUGUUUUUUAAUUAUUUUUAAAUACUUUAAAUAUUUUUUCAAUGUGUGUUCAUAUGCAUUUAAAUAUAUGAAUUUGCAAAUAUUCCUCUUUCAGCUAAAUCUACUUCGUCUUGAUAUGUUUGAAAAAAAUUAUAAGAACGUCAAUAUAUGAAAAACAUGAUCGUUCGAUUCGUGAAAUGAAAAUGAAUGAAGAAUGUGAUCAAAUUGCACGUCUUUUUGUCUAGUUGAUAUUAUAUUGUCUCGAAAAAAUUAUUGAUCUUAAUUAUAUUUUGUUGAUGGAAAUCGAUAAUUGUUUUAUGGUUAUCGUGUAUUUACAUUUCAAGAUAUUUGUGUUUCUAAAAUUGAAUUGUCCAAAAAUAUUAAUACAAAAAAUAUAAUAAUGUUUUUUUAAGUAACUAAAAAUAAUUUCAAGAUAACGUGCUAUUAUUUUUUAAAUAUCUUUAUGAAAAAAAUAUUCAAAAUAUGUGUAUUUCUUUAUGAAAUUAGUUUGUAACGAUUAAUAGUAUGACAAACCAAACACAAUUGUACAUAAAAAGUAAAUGAAGUUUAUUUUGAGUGACUUUGUUAAAUUUGGAUGAUAUAUAUACAAUCAAACUUCAUUCAUCAUGUUUGUAAAUUUUAAGCAUUAUUAUGAAAGAUUAAAACCCCCAUUUUAUGGACAAAAGUUUUAACAUCGCCCAUCUCGAACACAAAUCUAUCAACACUUAAUUCAUUAAAUUAACACUUCAUUAGAUACAAAAGAUGCCAAAACAAAAGAGUUGCAAUAAUAUAAUAAGCAUUUUGCAUAGAGAGAGAUCUAAAAUUAAAACCUUGACCUAAUUUAAAAUUUAGGAAUUUAGGUUUUAAUCUUUUUAUUAACGAUGAUGAAUAAUGUUCACUUGGACUUGAAAGGAAUGGCUCUAAUCACGACUUGAUGAUAUAAAGCUGCCAAUGCUGCUCCGAUGAACGGUCCAACCCAGAAUAUCCACUGCCAAACACAUUAUAUAUAUAUAAUUAAUUCACUAUUUCAUAUUCAUUUUUAAUUCCCUCAGGAUUCAAAUCAAUUAACAAACUCACAUGAUCAUCCCACGCUUUGUCCUUGUUGAAGAUGAUGGCCGCUCCCAAACUCCGAGCCGGGUUGAUGCCGGUGCCCGUGAUCGGGAUUGUUGCCAAGUGGACUAAGAACACUGCAAACCCAAUUGGUAGCGGCGCCAAUAUCUGUUCCAAUAACAUUUUUUUUUUACUUCUCAUAAACAAUCUAUAACUCUAUAUAUAUAGUUUGUUAUAUUAGAAACAACGUCUUAAUUUUACUCACCGGAACAUGUGAGUCUCUGGCGCUACGUUUAGCAUCAGUGGCGGAGAAGACGGUGUAAACAAGGAUGAAAGUACCCACGAUCUCAGCGCCAAGGCCAUCCCCUUUGGUGUAACCGUCGCUCACAACGUUAGCUCCACCCCCGAGCCUUUCAUAGGGCUUGGGUUGGAACCCCUUCACCACUCCCGCGCCGCAG
rnacentral:lncRNA from 1 species